rnacentral:lncRNA from 1 species
ACCAGCAUAGAAGCUCACUUGUAAGUCUUAAAAUGCAUGGAUUGUUAGAUCUUGUGGGUGGUUCGAUUAACAAUCUUGUACUGGGAACUUAAUCAAAAGCUACCAUUGCUAUGGCUACUGGCACAUGGCAAUAGUCUGAAGAUUGCAUUUAAAAUAUGCCUUCAGCAUAGUUUGCCUUGCCAAACUUGUCAUGCUGUGUGUAGAUACUGUCCCGGUGCUUGCCAAACUUGUCAUUUGAAAUGCCUUAAGCAUAGUUAACUCCAUGGCAUCCUUUUGUUGCCUUUCCCUGCUGAGGAAAGGUUGGGAGUCAUCCCAUACAUUGGGAUGCUGGGGUGUCUUGUAAUAACCAUGAUGACAAUUACCUUCUGUGGUCAAUGUAAAUUAUCUUUAGUUUUUGCUUCUGCUAGUGGUGAUGGGUAUCAUGUUGAUGUUGUGAAUUGCAUUGCCUGUGGUGAUUGGCACCUUGUUCACGCCUUUUAUAGCGAGCUGUGGGUAGCUGACACUAGGCCAACUUUUAUGUUCAUCGUGCAUGUAAAAAGAUGCCAAAAUGGUUUCAACAUGACAAAAUUUUCGACGAUUUGUACCAACUAGUAAGUUGGCACGUGCAACCCACGUGUAAUCUUUAAAAGAAUUCUGAGCCUCCCAUCUUGGUUGCCAUCCAUAGUAGCCCACUCUGCCCAUUCACAUGACAUAUGACAUCUUUGCUCUUUUGUAGUACUCCUCCGAUCCAAAACAAGUGUCGUGGUAAACUAAAACCACGACACUUAUUUUGGAUCAGAGGCAGUAUAUAGCGGACAUAUGUGCCACAAUUAUCCCUGGCAUUUGCCAAAUUGAGAUAGUAUUAAUGAAUGAAUUAACGUCAACACUAUAUUUUAUCCAUGAAUGGUUAUUUAUAACAGGUGAUACCUAAUAUCACAUGCUUAUGGCUAAUCCCGAUCUUGACAAACUCACCAUAUGAUACCACAAAAGAAAACCCAAUCAAUCAAAAUAACAUGAACGAUAACUUCUGAAGUACUCCCUCCGUUCCUUUAUAUAAGGUGUAUUUGUUUUUUGAUAAAAUUUCAUAAUGUAAGGUGCAUUUCUUAUAAAACCUCAUAAUUCCUUUUUUAGCCCUUCAAAAAAAGGAAAGUAUCUCUCUCCCGAUUGCCUGUAUCUCUAUUUCUAGAAGAAGAAGGAAAGCAUCUCUUCCCUGAUUGUGUGUAUCUUUUCAUUUCCUAGCCUAACCGAUUUACUUGCCACUAACCAACAAAAUUUUAAAGUGUAAUUUUGUUUUAAAUUAUCUAUAGUUUGUUGCCUUGGUCACCGUGCCCAAAAAAAUACACCUAACAUAAAGGAACGGAGGGAGUAUUUAAUAACAGCAAAAGAAAACUACUAAAUUAAACUUCGCAUCAGGGUAACUUAUGGUUCUUCUUGAGAAUUAGAAUCUCUGAAUCAUAAAAAUCGACGUGGCUUCCUUAGAGAUAUAGCUCAAGUUUGUUAAUGUAGUUCAAAGCAAUGGCCUAUUGAAAAAGUUUGUACCGGAGCUCGUUUCAGCCAAGUUAAGUAUGAUUCCAGUGAAAUCAAUCAUCUGAUCCACUAUUGUGUGCAUAAUGGGAUUAUACAUAGAAGAUGAAAUUAGUGAACGGUGAGUACACACCUUUUAUUUCACUGGGGCGUCCAGAUAUAUAACUUGUGCUCACACAUCUUUCUUCACCUUGCAUGUCAUCUAUACCAAUAUAAAAAGACCCGGUGAGGCAGAUCCAAUAAAUCUCAGUACAUCCUGAUUGUGCCUCGCUGGUAAUUUAAAUUAGCGCACAUCCUGAUCGUAGCGGAGAAGCACCCGAAUGACUAUUUUGCAUCUGCGAGAUGUGUGUACAAAAUCAGUGAAAUCAGUAUAAUAUGCAUGAACAUGGAUGAGCAAAUUUCAGGCAAUGCAAAUCACACUGGUAAUGAAGCUUAAGUGCUAAAUGCCUGCAUUCAAAUCGCCGAUCAAAGAGUUUUAAACUCUGUUAACAAGCUUGAUUUGCCUUCAGUUAUCAAGUGUAUACGGGGCUACUUUUCGGUUGAUCGAUCUUAGGUAAGUGAAACGUUAAUCAGUACAUCACGUAUGCCAAAACAGAUAGCACACGUGAACCAAUCUAUGAAAUGUGAAGCAAAGGUGAACAAAAGACAGUACAAAUGAAAGACCUCUCCGGCCGUCAGGCCUGGCGGCGGUGUGUUUGAAGGUAGCACAUCCCCUGACCGUGCGAGAUGUCGGGGAGAUGUGAACUCACGGCGUGGCCGACGGCCGGCCCAGGCCAGGCGGUUUAGGCGGCGUCCCCGACGGCCGGCCAAGCAGUUUAGGCGGCGGCGCUGAUGGCCGAGGCUAGGCGAUCCGAUGGGUGGGAGCGGCACGGAGCUGUGAGGGGCGGCGGCCCUGAAGGUGUGGCAGCUCGAUCAAGGCGAUGGGGGUGGCGUCCUGAAUAGUGCGGCAGGUCGAUGCGAUGGCGGCGGCGUGCAGCGGCUCAAGGCUAUUUGGGCGGCGCUAGGCGGUGUCCACGACGUUGCGGUGGUUCCCUUCUAUCCUGAACGUGCGGCGGUUUCCUUUCAUGCGAAGUGUUCGUAAGAAAACAGACCAGGGAAGAUAAUCAGGAAAGAGAAAGUAUUGCUUAGCGCUAAAUGUGUUUAGUCGCUCACCAUCAGGACAAUAAGGACGGUUGGAUGAACGCAAAUGGAUGACCGAGAUUUAUUGAAUCUGCCUCAUUGGGUCUUUUUAUAUUGGUAUAGAUAUAGAUAUAGAUGUAGUAAAGGAUGUCCAUGAAUGAAGAAAUUAUAAGUAGGAACUAUGGUCUGAAUGGAUCUCCGAACUCACACACUUGCUCCUAGAAUAUACGUACCCGCAAACAAAUGGGAGUGGCGUUUCGGCUCCCAGAAGCAUAUGCUCCUGGGGUGAACAAAAACUCAACAAAUAGGAAACAAACUAAAAAAACUAUUUUGUGUAUGUUCAAUAUUAGUGUUUGACGUGUUCUUUACAAUUUUCACACAAAAAGGAACAGUUGUGUUUUGUCAGGAAAAAAAGACAAAGAUAUAGUGCUCUAGAAAUGCCAAAAAUUGGCACUCAAUUAUGGUUGCAAUGCUUGGGCUUUCACCAUAAAAAUUUGCAAAUGACAUUUGAAAAUGAACAUUUGAAUGUCUGAAUUGUCUUGUAUUUUCUUCACAUUUGUAAAUGUAUUUUUGGCGCGUAGGAGCUUUUUUUCGAUCAGAGGGGCCACACGGCCCCCAUUUUCAUUACGAAAAUGGAGUCACAGCAUACGAAUCAAGUUUCAUACACAUUCAACUUCUUUUGAUGCCUAACAUAUGCAUCAUGAAAAAAAAACUACUCCUACAUCUUGAGGCACUUCAUCUGCACCUACAGGAUGCUACAACAUCUUGAAGCUCAUCAACAUCUUGAAGCUCAUCAACAAAAAACUUCAUUUUUGCAUCAGGUGAAAUAACUCACUACAACCUGAGAUACCAAACUCUGCACCUACAGGGUGCUAUAGCAAAAGAACAAGAGAGAUCAUCGCAAAUGUUACAUCUAUCACCACUUGAUCAACAGAGCCUCCGUAUAGCAGGCCCCCAGCCGUAAGCACGCUUGAAGACGUCCCUCGCUAUCUGGGCCAACCUCUUGGUCACUUCCUCAAGAGUUUUUUGCACUCCUCUUUUCUGUAGCACACCCCACGAAUCCAACAUGGAACAUAAGGAGAAGAUAAUAUCAGUAGGAUCAUUAGGUAAAGAACUCUGAAAGCAAGAUUUAUUUCUUGUUUUCCAGAUCGACCAUAAUAAAGCAGCCGUACCAAUAGCUAUAACCACUCUAUCUUUCCCAGUAUACUUAGGAAGCCAAUUCUGGCAAAAGUCAAAGAAUGACAGGGGUGUUUGGGGAUUUCCCAAAGCACUCCCAACUACAUUCCAAAGAAACCGAGCAAAAGAGCAAGUGAAAAACAGAUGGUCAAUACAUUCAUUGGCAUCACAAAAUUCACAUUUGUUGGUGCCUUUCCAGCCUUUUUUACACAAAUUGUCCUUGGUCAAGAUCCUCCCUUUGAUAACUAACCAAAUAAAAGCCUUAAUUUUUAAAGGUACCUUCAGUUUCCACAGAAACUUAAAAAGGAACACUACUCUCCUAGCAAUAAUAUAUUGAUAAAGAGAUUUAACAGAGAACUGGCCAGAGCUGGUCAAAAGCCAUUUGACUUUGUCAAGUUCCUCACUCAGAACAACCUAACUGCACAUAUCUAGAAGUUUAUUCCACAUAUCCAAUGUCUCCCCAUAUAAACAUCUCCUAAAUCUAAUGCAGUUAAAAUCUUGUUCAAAUGCUUUAGCAACCGUAAUGUUUUGAUGGAAAGUAAGUUUGUACAAGCGAGGAAAAAGUUGACAGAGAGGCUUGUUGUGGAUCCAAGCAUCUUCCCAAAAUCUAGUUUUACACCCAUCUCCAACAAUUCUCUGACAACAGUUGUAAAAGAUAUUUUUAACACUCAUGAUACCAUUCCAGAAAUGAGAGUUGGUAGGAGAUGACUCACAUUUAGACAAAGUUUUCCUCUUCAAAUACUUUGCUCUAAUCAUCUCCUGCCAAUCCCCAUCUUCAUUCUCAAGUCUCCAGAGCCAUUUACACAAAAGACUAAUAUUCUUGAUAUCCAGAUUAGUAACACCCAACCCCCCUUGGUCUCUAGGUUGACAGACAUCAAGCCAGUUAACUAAAUGAAACUUCCUAACCCCCUCUUUCUCUUGCCAAAGCACCCGAGCUCGAAAGAAGUCGAUUCUUUUGCCUACUCCCUUUGGUAGACGGAAAAAGUUAAAUAAAUGACUAAUGACGUUACUCAAGCAAGUUUCAGUACGGAUAAGCCUACCACCCAUAGAUAAAAGAGCCCCCUGCCACGCUGCAGCUCCUUUAUCUACUUUUUCUUCCGCUGGCUUCCAAUCAGCAUUACAAAGCUUUUUAUAAUGCAGGGGAAGACCUAAAUACUUAAAAGGGAAGCCCCCAAUAGCACAAGUAAAAAUGUCGGCGUAGUCAGCUUGUUUCUCCAAAGCUUUACCGAAACAGAAAAUUUCACUUUUUAAAAAAUUAAUCUUCAGACCGGUCAAAUGCUCAAAAACACAUAGAAUUAUUUUUGUUAGGAAUAUGCAACUUGUAUUCCCAUGAGGCCUAUGGCCGAUAUAUAUAUACAUGUACAGGUGUGGAACAUAUGCAGGAAACCCCUUAUACAAUGGGAUAAAUACAAAGGGGUACAUGACUUAUAUUAUAACUCUAACACCCCCCCCCCCUCAAACUCAUGGUGGAUGAACAACACUGAGUUUGGAGAGAUAAAAGCCAUGUUGUGCUCUAGUCUGAGCCUUCGUCAGGAAAUCCGCCAACUGUAACUCGGAAGGCACAUACUGAAGAGCAAUAACCUGAUCCUGCACAGCAGCACGCACAUAGAACGCAUCAACACCAAUAUGCUUGGUGAGCUCAUGCUUCACAGGAUCGCGUGCAAUGCUGAUAGCACCUGUACUGUCAGAUAAAAGCAGAGUCGGUGUAGUGACAGAAACACCAAAAUCCUGAAGUAACCACCGUAACCAAGUCACCUCUGCCGUCAAAAGAGCCAUUGCUCGCAACUCAGCCUCGGCACUCAAACGGGAAACUGCAAGCUGUUUCUUCGUCUUCCAGGCAAUGAGAGAACCACCAAGAAAAACACAGUAAGCAGAAAGUGAACGGCGAUCGGAAGGAUCACUAGCCCACGCAGUAUCCGAAUAGGCAUGGAGCUGUAAAGAACUGGAGCGAGGAAAGAAUAGACGGUGAGAGAUCGUGCCUCAAAGAUAUCAAAGAACACGAAGGAGAUGACUAUAGUGAACCGAGGUGGGAGCAGAGACAAACUGACGCAGAAUAUGAACCAGAUAAGAGAUGUCCGGACGAGUGACAACUAGAUAGACAAGACUGCCAACAAGAUGACGAUAACGCGUCGGAUCAGGGAGAGGAUCACCAUCAGUAGCACGGAGGUGAACAUUGAGCUCCAUAGGAGUCUCAACAACGCGCUCGUCAGUAAGAGCAGCACGAGCAAGAAGAUCCUGAAUAUACUUUUCCUGGGAGAUAAAAAAGCCAUCAGAGGUAGAAGAGACUUCAAUCCCAAGAAAGUAGCGAAGAGGUCCAAGAUCAGACAUAAGAAACUGCUCACUAAGACGGGCCUUUACAAAGGCAAUAUACUCGGGGUCAUCCCCCGUGAUGAUCAUGUCAUCAACAUAAAGAAGAAGAAGAGUCCGUCCACGAGGAGAAAGGUGAAUAAACAAUGCUGGAUCAUGAGCACUGGCUAAAAAACCACCAGCAGUGAUCACAGAGGCAAAGCGCUCAAACCAGGCGCGGGGGGCUUGCUUAAGGCCAUAGAGAGAGCGACGAAGAUGACAUACCAUGCCAUCAGGAACAGAAUACCCAGGUGGUGGCUUACACCUCCUCACGCAGCUCACCAUUAAGAAAGGCAUUCUUAACAUCAAGCUGAGAUAUAGACCAGUGGCGUGCAGAGCAACGGCAAGAAGUGUACGAACAGUGGUCAUAUGAGCCACAGGAGCAAAAGUCUUGUCAUAAUCACGACCAUGCUCCUGCUGAAAACCACGAGCCACAAGACGAGCUUUGUGACGCUCAAGAGAACCAUCGGAGCGAGUCUUAACCUUGUAGACCCACUUACAAGUGAUCGGACGGACUCCGGGAGGAAGAGAAACAAGAUCCUAGGUACCAGUGCGUUCAAGAGCAGCAAUCUCCUCUGCCAUCGCAAACUGCCAUUCAGGAUGAACAAAAGCCUGACGGUAAGAAGUCGGCUCAAGAACAGCAGCACCAGCGGUGGGAAAUCCAAAGCGAUCAACAGGCGGACGAGGACGAGAACGCAAGCCAUAAGUAGGCUGAGAGGAAGAUGACGACCCAUCCACAGAGGCAUCAACUGGUCGUGGACGACGAGUGUAAUGCUGAGGAAAAGAUGGAAUAAUAGAAGGGGGAAUCGGCAAGGUAGAAUCAGGGGGUGGCGACGAAGAAGUCACCGGAGAUGAAGGUGUAGAAUCCGGUGACAGGCUGGGAGAGGAGACCGGGGAGGAAGUCACCGGAGAUGAAGGUGGAGAACCCGGUGACAUGCGAGGCGAGGAGACCGGGGAUGAUGGUGGCUGCAAAUCAACUAGAUGUGGAGAAGGAGAGGAAGUGGAACGGAGAGGUACAGUCUCGGCGGGAGUGAUAGGUGAGUCAGGAAAAGUGAGGAAAGAGAUAUCCUGCACUGAAAAAGUCGAGGAAGAUGGGCGUGGGUAGAAGGGACGAGACUCUUCAAAAGUCACAUCUCGAGAGAUACACAUCCGACGACCAAUAGGAUCCCAACAACGAUAGCCCUUAUGCUCAUCACUGUAGCCUAAGAAGACACACUCAACAGACUGAGCGGUCAGUUUGGUGCGUUCGCGAGGGGCAAGAAGAACAUAGCAAACACAACCAAACGAGCGAAGUAUCAAAUAAUUGGGAGAACGAUCAAAAAGUCGCUCGAAAGGAACACCACCCUGUAGAGCAGCGGAAGGCUGUAUAUUGAUAAGAUAGGUGGAUGUGGAGACGGCCUCAGCCCAAAAAUGAGGCGGGAGAGAGGCAGCAAUCAUCAGUGCACGAGCCGUCUCAAGAAGAUGUCGAUGCUUUCGCUCAGCCACACCAUUCUGAGCAUGAGCACCAGGACAAGAGAAUUGAGAGAGAGUCCCGUGCUCAGCAAGAACACCACGCAACAUCUUAGAGAUAUACUCGCCAGCGGAGUCAGCACGAAAAACACGAAUGGGUGAAGAGAACUGAGUAUGAACCAUGGCAGCAAAACGCUUAUAAAUAGACAACACCUCAGAACGAGAAGUCAUGAAAUAAAGCCAUGUGUAAUGAGAGAAAUCAUCUAUGAAAAUAAUAUAGUAUUUAUGACCACCUUUCAAAGCGAAAGGGGCCGGACCCCAUACAUCAGAAUGGACUAAAUCGAAAGGACGCUUAGACACUGACUCACUAUGUGAAUAUGGUAACCGAAUCUGCUUGCCAAGAUGACAACCCUGACACUCUAAAGAGACAUCUCCUGAGACAGACCCCAGAAGGCCUCGACGAACUAAAGAAGACAACCGAGAACCACACAGAUGACCAAGUCGAUGAUGCCACUGCUGGAAGGAACCAGUGACGGAGGCGACAGAAGCGGAAGAACUGGCGAUGGUGGUGGCAGCAGAAGGAACAUGAAGCCAGUCCAACUCCCAAAGACCCUGAGAAUCACGGCGGCGAGGGCCAGCCCCAACCAGAGUGUGCGUGUGACGGUCCUGGACAGAACAAGAGUCAACGUCAAGGAUGACGCGACAACCAGAAUCCGUAAGUUGACCAGCAGAAAACAAAUUCAUGGUAAGUCGAGGAACAUGAGCAACAUCAGGAACAGAAUAAGAAGGAGUAGUAAGAUUGCCUCUACUAGCAACAGAAAGUGGAGUACCAUCAGCAGUGAAGACAUGAAUAGGAGAAUUCUGUGAUCGAAGAGAGGACAAAGUGGAAGAAUGAGAAGACAUAUGAAAAGAAGCACCAGAGUCCAGAACCCAGGGGGAUGUACCUGACUGUGUAGAGGGUGAUUGCUCAGUGCGGGAAGCAUCAGUCACAGAACCGGCAGUACCCGUCGAGGAAGAACCUGAAGCUGCGAGCAGACGCUUAAGUCUCAGAAUAUCCUGCUCAGUCAAAGCAAUGGCUAAAGCUGUCGAGGUAGAUGACGAAGUCCCGGAAGAUGAUGAUCGAGCCUUGCGCAGGUGUUUCUUCUUUGUGUAGCACUGAGACUCAAGAUGACCAUCAUUGUUGCAAUAGGCGCAAUGUGGACGGGGGCGACCUGAGCCUCCAAAAGGAGUGGGCAAGAGCGGCGGAGCACUCGAGCGAGAAGGGGUCGGUGGAGCAAGUGGCGUAGGAGCACGAGUAGCGAGCAUAGAGGGAACCUCCAGCAAACCAGCACCACGUAAGCGAGUCUCCUCAGCACGAAUCUCAGAAAGCGCCUCCAUGAGAGAAAUACGGCCACGAGCAAACACCUGAGCACACCGGGGCUCAAACUCCUUACGGAGCCGAGACAAGAACUCAUAGACGCGAUGAAACUCCAAAUUGGCCUGGACAGCCUGGCAACAGGGGCAGGUACGACACCCAGCACUACGAAGAUAACUCAUAGCAGAACUCUGUGCAUAGAAGUCAUCAACAGUAGAGUCACCCUGCUGAAGAGCAUGCUCCUGACGGAUCACAGAGAGGUAUAAGGCAUCACCAGAGGGCUGAUAGCGCUCACGAAGACGGGUCCACAUCUCAAAGACAGUAGAAAGACCCAGAAAUUCAGAAGCAAACUGAGGCAGAACACUAGCAGUGAGAACAGCUGCAGCACGAGCAUCAUCAUCAAGCCACUGGGUGUAAACAGACAGAGCACCAUGAUACGUCUGAAGAGCCUCCUCAUAAGCCAAAAUCCUCUCAUCAUAAGUACGAUCAGCAACCUCAUCAGCAACCUUAGCCGCAUCCUUGGCAGCCUGAUUAGCAUCCGUAGGAAGAACCGAUGGAGUUGGCGGAGUAGGGGCCACCGGAGGAACUGGACGUGGCGGACAGCAGACCUCGCCAGAAAGAACACGCCAAAGACAGAUGCCACGCAUGUGAAUGCGCAUGAAGCCAGUAAACUCGGUGUAGUUAGUACCAUCAAAGAUCACCGGACAGCGAGGGACAGCAGCAUAGCCCGAGGAUAGAGACAUCACGCCUUUUUUUAGACCGAUAAUCAGGAGCCUGGAUCUGCAGCUGCGGCAGGAGUCUCGAUCAGGCCCAAGGAAUCAGUGGUGGCCAACGAUCAGGAGUCUCAAUCGGGACCUGGCGACUGAUCGAGAGCAGUUGGGACCCGGCUGCAGCAGUGGCUGGAUCGUGGGCGGGACCUGGCGGCUGGGUCACGGGCAGGACCGGGCAGCUGGAUCGUGGGUGGGACCGGGCGACUGGAUCACGGGCGGGACCUGGCGGUUGGAUCCUCCCACUGGAUCAGGACUUCAGGCAGAGUAGCGACCACGGGUGUUGAUGGAGAUCGAGCGUGGGAGGGAGGGCGUUGACCAAUGGAAGAAGCAGCGGCAGCGGCUGCGACGCGACGGAAGAGGCCGCAGGAGAUCAACGCCGGAACAGCACAGCCGGACAAAGGAGAAGGCCCGCGGCACAGGGUUGGAUCGCACGAGUUGCCCGUGCUAAAAAAAACCUAAAGCUCUAAUACCAUGUUAGGAAUAUGCAACUUGUAUUCCCAUGAGGCCAUAGGCCGAUAUAUAUAUACAUGUACAGGUGUGGAACAUAUGCAGGAAACCCCUUAUACAACGGGAUAAAUACAAAGGGGUACAUGACUUAUAUUAUAACUCUAACAAUUUUGAGGUUCCUAGCCCCCUCAAGGUCAUCUUCAAAACAGAAAAUAGUAUCGUCCGCAUAUUGCAAAAUAUUUAGACCUCCUGAAUACAACCUAGGCAACACUCCCUUGAUAAAUCCUUGUUCUUGCGCCCUUUGCACCAGGGUAGCAAGAACAUCAGCCGCCAAAUUGAAAACAAGGGGGAAAACGGAUCCCCUUGCCUCAAACCCUUCCUGGUAACAAAAUACGGGCCAAUAACAUCAUUAAUAGUGAUGGCAACCUUUCCAUUACUAACGACAUCUUUUGUCCACUGGACAAAACGUUCAGGGAAGCGGCGCGCAGGAGCAUAUGCUCCCUAGAGCUAAACUGAACAUCUACAAAGCAUGUGUCUUUUCUUUGAAAUCACAAACAGUGAUUGGUGCCUUUAUUCAGUGGAGAGAUUGUUUUGCAUCUCAAAUUGCAACACACAGAUCUUCUCUUCUAUUAGCUUAUAUGGAUAUCGACAGUACAAUGAGUUUCCAUUAUGGAAGAAAAGGGUUCUGAGAGGAACACACAUCCUUUUGCCGCUGGUAUGCCCUUCAUGAAACCAAAAUGGAUUUCUCAAUCAGCAAUAAGAAUGUAGAUCUUGAUGUUUUUCUCUUGCAAAAAAGUGUAAGUAUGGUUACCUCGAAGCGCUGUAGGAACCAAAGGAAACUGCGGCACAAAUUAUGAGCAGAAAGGGGGCUUUAACCAAUAUCUUGUUUGAUCUUCUGUAUCCCGUUGGAACACCAGACCUCAUUACAUGCACUGCAUUUCACGCAUGAUCAUCUCAUCAGCUACAAAGAUGGAGGAAACAACAAAUCUGCAUUCUGAAACCAAAUUUACCUUCCAUUCUGUUCCCAAAUCUUCGACCUGCAAACCGCAACAAGCAUACCAUAAUCCCAUCAGUCAAAUCAAUAACCAAUACCAUAAACCGCAACUUAGGUGCCAGAUGAUAAAGGAAAAACAAAGGCUGGUUAUCAAAGUGAAUAACAUACCAUCCUUCAAACAAGAAUAUGCUUCUACUACCUGCAAAACACAAACACAAUUAAGAUUUAUAGAUUACAAUUGUGAGAAAGAAAUCAAAUGCAGAAAAUUGAUUGUGAUCCUCGUGCGGAAAACCACAUUCAGGCCUCCUUUGGUUUGUAGGAAUGGAUUCCUACUCCUAUGUAGGAUAGGAAUCAAUCCUUCACAUUUCAAAGGAAAAAAGACAUUAGCCUAGACUUAAUGGAAAAAUUCCUAUCCUAUGCAUCAAAUGACAUCUCUUUCCCUAUAGGAAUUGAGAUGCAUGUCAUCUCACUUCCUAUGAUUUUCUUGCUCCUAUGAUAUUCCUAUCCUAUGAACCAAAGAAUGCCUCAAAUUUAAUAUUCGCUCAACUGGAAAAGGUAUGAGUGUUAGCACAUUCAAAUUUGCAGAAACUCUCUUGCAUGCUUGGGAAUGCCAAAUAUACUAUGUCCAUAAGCUGAACAGGUCACCUAAAGCUCAGGAACUACAUUAAGAUCACAUAUAUGCUCGUUUUGAUAUCAACGAUUUAAUUGUGGAAGGGCAAUUAGCAUGGUAAAUCCAAAAGCUAUACAAGCAUUCUAAAGCUCAGCAAGUACAUUAAUAUCACAUCUAUGCUCAUUUUGACAUCAGUGAUUCAAUUAUGAAUGAGCAACUAGCAUGGUAUAAAGGUUGCUUAAAAAAUUAGCAUGAUCAAGCUAAAAUACUCGUCUAAUUGCCUUUCAUGCCUGAAUAACACCAUGAACAAGGAACAUGCAAAUAACAAGCAUCAUGAUGCCUGAAGUUCCUUCACCACGACUGAUUACCUGACCUGCUUGAAUUUUGACUCGGCUUGAGGCUUCUGAUCCAUCGGGACGCGAUCGGGAUGGGACUCCAUGACCAUUCUUCUAUACGCAGCCUUAACCUGCAACAGAAGAUUCAGAGCAUAUAUGAACUCAAAUUUGGGAGAUUGACACCAACGUUUAGCCAAAAUCCAGCAGAAACUGCUAGCAGAUUAGCUCGUCCGAGCAAGAACUAGCCGGACAAAGCUGGACUACCAUCCUGAGAUGAUCCGCCGUGGGAUAUUCGCAGGGGGAGCAGCGCGGCAGGGAGGAAGGGGUCGGGGGGCGGAAUUGGGGAGAUGGAUGAUACCUCGGAAGGGGACGGGCGGGAGUAGGGAGCGAAGCCCAGGAGCUCCAUGGCCUCGCUGCUCCUCAUCUCUCUCCCUUUCUUCCUCGUGCAAUCCCGCCGGACAAAUCGCGGCGGCAGAGGCGACGACGGCGGGGCGGCUGGCCGGUCAGGUUGGUCGCGGUAGGCGCAGCGCUCGAAUGAAGCAGGAGCAGCCAAGGCCGCUCCACGUAUUUGCUACGCGCGGCGGCCUCGCUGGCAGCUUCCUUGCCGUCAGAUCCAGCCUCCGCCGAUCGCACGGCCGAGACGCGCUCGCCGAGCCGUCACAGCGUGCUGUUCGUGCACCCGCCGAAGCCGAGCUCGAACGCUUCAAGCAAGCUCUCGGCGAUGCGCGCGCGAGGGGGCGGCGCGGCCACGCCGCGGCCGGAGCACCUGGCGGCGCACGCGCGGCUCGUCAAGUCGGCCGACGCGGACCCGUUCGUCGUCAGCACCGUCAUGCGCGCCUACCUCCGCGCCUCGCUCCCGCUGCAGGCGCUGCUCGUCCUCCGCGGGCUCCUCCCGCGCGCGCCCCGCCUCCUCGCCAACUCCUUCUCCCUCUCCCUCGCCCUCCAGGCCUGCGCCGCCUCCGCCGCGCUCGCUUCGUCGGCCGCGACCCGGCCGCUCGGCGCCUCGCUCCACGCGCGCGCGGUCAGGUCCGGCUUCGCCGCCGCCGAUCUCUUCGUCCGCACCGCGCUCGUCGAGAUGUACGCCAAGUCGGGCCGCGCGGAGCUCGCGCGCGCCGCGUUCGACGAGGCGCCCCGCCGGGACGUGUUCCUCUGCAACGUCAUGCUCGCGGCCUACGUCGCGCGCGGCGAGGUCGCGGAGGCGAGGAGGGUGUUCGACGGAAUGCGGGACCGGGACCUGGUGUCCUGGAACACGAUGAUCCACGGGUACGCCGUGAGAGGGGACGUCGGCAUGGCGAGGGAGAUAUUCGACGCGACGAGCGACAGGGACGCCUUCUCGUGGAGCUCGAUGAUCUCCGCGUACGCCAAGGGCCGUCGGUCCAAGGAGGCGCUGGAGCUGUGGAAGGUGAUGCGAGCGGCGCGUGUCGCUCCAGACUGCAUCACCAUGGUGAGCGUGCUCUCGGCGUGCAGCGACAUGGGGGCACUGACCAUUGGCGCAGAGGUGCACCGGUUUGUCGAGAGCCACAGGGUUGAGGUAGACAUGAAGCUGGGUACUGCUCUGGUUGACAUGUAUGCCAAGUGCGGUGACAUUGAGAAUUCUCUGAAGGUGUUCCGCGCUAUGCCUGUGAUGGACGUGCUUACUUGGAGUUCAAUGAUCAUUGGACUGGCCAAUCACGGACUUGGCCAUGAUGCUCUAAGUUUGUUCUCAGAGAUGAUAUCACAAGGACUGCAACCAAAUGAGAUCACCUUCGUUGGAGUUCUUAUGGCGUGCACUCAUGUUGGUCUAGUGAGUGAUGGCAAGAAGUAUUUCAGCUCAAUGACUGACGUUCACGGUGUGGUGCCAAGGGUCGAGCACUAUGGAUGCAUGGUCGAUCUUUUGGGUCGUGCAGGCCAUGUUGAGGAGGCAAUGCAGCUUAUCAGGAGCAUGCCUUUUGAGCCGGAUGCAAUUAUUUGGAGAACACUUCUUGGCGCCUGUCGCAUCCAUAAGAAUGUAGAGAUUGCAGAGGAAGCUAUGGCCAAAUUGAAAGUACUGGAUCCUCUUGCAGAUGGACACUAUGUGUUGCUGUCAAACAUAUAUGCACAAGCAAACUCGUGGGAAGGUGUUGCAGAAAUGAGAAAAACGAUCAAGAGGGAGAACAUUCAGAGGGUUCCUGGAAGAAGCUCGAUCGAAUGGGAGAACACAGUUCAUGAGUUUGUCUCUGGUGAUAGAUCGCAUCCGAGGAUUGAGGAGAUCUACAAAAUGUUGGAAGAGAUGAUUGGCCGGUUAAUACAAGCAGGAUAUAGGCCCAUGACAAGCUUGGUAUUGCAAGAUAUUGAUGAGCAGUCUAAAAAGCGGGCACUGGCUGAACAUAGCGAGAAACUGGCCAUUGCUUUUGGGCUGCUGACCACCCCUCCAGGGUCAACUCUUCGAAUAACAAAGAACCUCAGAGCUUGUGAAGAGCUUAUAUCCUUGGUAUAUGGUCGCAAGUUGAUUAUUAGAGACCGGAAUCGUUUCCACCAUUUUAGUGAAGGGCAGUGCUCAUGUAAGGAUUACUGGUAAACUUAGAACCUUUUGUACCAGAAAAAGUUCUGGUGUACCAAUUGUUUGUCCGUACCUUGCUAGUAAUCUGAAGUUUAAGGUUGCUAGAUAUUCUUAUACUUGAGCAUGUAUCUGAAAGAACUGCACUAGAAGAACAAUCUUCUAUCAUAUUAUAUUCUUCCGAAAGUCAUGGAACUCAUUUAGAAGCUGAAGGAUUGACAGAAGAUCUGCCUUCCAGUAUACAUCAAACUUAAGAGGGGGAAACAAAGAACAGGUAAUUCUUAUAUGCGCACUUCAACUGUUUACAUAAUAUUGCAUACAUAGUCAGUAGCAAAUCUGCCCAAAGUAAUAAAAAUAAAACUAUCAUGAACCAUCCAAGAGAAAUCUUUUUUUCCUCGGCUGGUCAAUAUUUGGUAUUUGAAUGGUGUAGCUUGUAUAUCUACAACUUGGUUUUACAAAAAUGUGUCAUACAUGGUACCUAGUGGUGGCCUGGUGGGUCCUCUUGUUUAAAAGGGAGGAUCCAUUUACCUAGUAGGCUCUCUUGCUAGAAAAAGGGUAGGGGGCCCUUUCAUCAAAAGCUACUAUUAAAUCGAUAAAGCUCUUGUCUUAUGGAGUCAUUCUUCAGAAGUUGCUGGCUUUUGCAUAUUCCCAAGUCGUCUGAGAGCGUUGCACACAGCUGCAGCAAGAAUGGCAUAGGUUAUAAAUUGUAAUUUGGAUGUUGUGCUGUGACCGAAAUGAUCAAGAAAUAAACAGAUUAUUUAAAACGGACUCAGCAAGGGAAGUAACCCUACCUGUCUGUAUAGGGAGCAGUCUCCACAUGACCUUUUGAGCUCAACAACAUAAAGAGAUUCAUUGAUCUCAAACACCUGGAAUCACAACACAACUAUGUUAAGAUGCAGUAAUGUCUAACAGGAACAGAUUGCACCAUGAAAUGGAAGCUGUAUCGGAUAGUUACUUCUUCUUUUGCAUUAAUCUGUAUUUUUAAUUGUGACAAUAUGAUAAAAGUACCUCAGCAGAAAUUAAUAAUGAUCCAUGCCCUCUUGGAUUUGUUGGUCCCUUGCGCUCUUGGAUCACUUUUAGCUGUAGAACAUGAUAAUAUAGCUGUCAACAUCACUGACUGAAGAAAACAAAGUUUGUACACAAUCCAUUGAACUGUGAGUUUUAACGUGAUGCAGUUCUUAGUCCAUAGACACAUCUGAGGUCACUAACCUUGCCAUUGUUCUUCUGUACUUGGAAGCCCAUAUUUAUGACAUUGCUCUCUAUCUUCUCAAAUAGAUAAGUCGGGGGGUAGUUUGAUGCAAAUCUGGUUUUUCUUUCUGAGACGUCCUGCAAUGAAGCCACACAUCUGAGUUUAGUGGAGGGUCACUACUACAAUGGAGGACAUUUAUAACUCCAUAAUAUUGGCAUAGCAGAUGCGGGGUGAGGACAUGUACAUAAUUAUGACAAUAAUCAGUGGCUUUGUCAGUCACUUGUUCCUGUCUGCUAUUGUUUUCUCACAUUGCCUAACGUUUUUGUUGUUUGCUGUGCUUAUUAUCCCAGGUGUGGCUCUUCCAAGUUAGAUCCUGUUGGAUGUAUGGGUUUGGAUUGUAUCUAGCUUAGACCCUUUGGUAGUAAUUUUGAGGAAGUAAAUGUUAAGGAGUAUUAGUACUGGUCUAGGAGUCCUUAUUAGUCUAUGUUUAGUUUCCUUGCACCUCAAGUCAUGUGUAAUAUAUAUAUGCCCCUUGGGCCUUCAAUAAAGUUAAGUUGCUUUCCUAAUAGUAAAAUGCAUGAACAUACACUAACAGAUGAGAUGAAGAAACAAAUAUUGGACUCACUUCUUUCUCAAAAAACCCAGAUAAAUCAAGGCACGAGGACAUUCCGAUGAGUUGAAAAGCAUUCAUCUGGUUGAUUGCGGGGUUGUCUUGAAUGCCAUUGUUCUUCAAGAAAAAAAACAGAUGAAGUUCAGUCUUUGUCACUCAGUUAAAAUUUAAAACCAUGCGGUUAUACAACAAAUAUUAGUGCACAUCACAUAGGCUACCUUGGUCAUGUGGGAAUUGUCAUCACCAACGUAAUUAUCGUCAUCAUCAUCAAAAGGCACUGCUGGAGUAUAACUUUGAUUGAACCAAUCGUGUUCCCUUAGUCCGUCCAUGCCAAGGCGGGUAAUGGGGUUUGGAUCCAGGAGUUUUCGCAGUAUAUCUUGGGCUCCUGGCGAAAGCCAUUUAGGAAUACGAUAAUCCCCUUUUAGAAUCUGAGGAUAAUAUCACACUGUGAGAUAUAUGGCCGCAGCAAAAAAGAGAACACAUUUUGCUAGCGUGGGCCUCGAUUCUUUGCUUCAUACCUUUUGAUAAAGGACAACCAUAUUUUCGUCAUCGAACGGAAGAUUCCCUGUAAGCAUCACAUAGAGGAUAACGCCACAGGACCAUACAUCUGACAUGGAGCCAUCAUAACCUUUGUUGAGAAGGACCUACAUACAUACACCACCAUCAGAAAUUCCAUCCUCCUUAUGGAGUAAGCAGAAGAAUCAUGAACCAGUAUCAGGUUCAGAGCCAGAUGAAAUAAUGCUUAGUCCUUACCUCAGGGGCUAUGUAGUUAGGGCUGCCACACGUGGUAUGCAGUAAUCCAUCUUUCUGAAAAUGGGGCUUUGUUUCAGACACCAGGGGAAUGAUUCAGCUACCUAAAAGGAAAAAAUACCAUACCCGUUGAUGCUGUGGAAGGGCACUUAGUCCAAAAUCAGAGACCUUUAUGUUCCCUUUCGCAUCAACCAGGACAUUCUCGGGCUACAGAAGGUGCGGAAGAAUGUCAGGUCUUAAUCUCGUAUCCAUUCGUAGUUCGGGAUCAAAAGGUGGAAACUCUCAGUAGUUACUUACCUUAAGGUCCCUAUGAUAAACCCCCCUCUCGUGGCAAUAGCUUAUAGCAUCCAUUAGCUGCUGGAACAGUUUCCUCCCUUCCUUCUCUGAGAGCUUGCCCUUUAGUGCCUGGCAUGCAUCAGGGAGUGUUAGAGAUGGAUGCAUGUGAAGCAUGCUUAUCACAGUGGGAGCGUAUGAGAAGAAUCCUUACGAUUUUCUCAAAUAGCUCUCCUCCGUUUACGUACUCGAGCACCAUGUAUAUCUUGGUCUUGCUCGCGGCAACCUGGAGAAGAAGGGGUGAAAUUGUAACACACUCAGGCUGGCCAAGGAUAAAGUGGGCGUGGAUAGUUGUUACAGAAAUGCCUGAUUGCUUAACCUCUUUAAAAUAAAAUUGGUAUGAUCUCUGUUUUUUCCGUGCAAUUUUAUUGUUCAGGGAAUCACAUUUUCAAUGGAGGAUGAUGGCCUCAGCUUUCUUGGCUGGUACUGCAUCUCCGAUAGAUUGCAGUUUCGUCGUUACUGUAUAAUAAUUUAGAGAUUGUAGGGUGCAAUUCUACGUUUCAGGGGACCAAAUUUCUAAUGCUUUGCUUCGGCGUGCAGGCAUCGCUUUCCUAACCUUUCUUUCCGAUCGCAGGAAGCCAAGGAGCAAGCCUAACAUAACAUGGAUGGAGUUGGAGUUUAUCCACUAACGCAAUCAGUCGGUGAGCCGAACACUCGAAAGAAACGGUCUAGUUUCCCCCCAACAAGCCUCCCUUUUCCAGGUUAUCCUUGAAAUUACUACUGUUGUCUAGCCCGUUUGGCACUUAUCUCUCCAUUGCAAUCCUAUCGUGUAGCCUGUUUGGUUCUUAUCCUCUCUCUCUCUGCAUUGCAUUUUGCAGUACUGUGAUGUGAUGCUGGCGUGCAAUGCCUUGCAGGACCGAGGAGCUGCCUGAAACGCACAAACGAUAAACUAGACGGCUCCCCCUCCCUCAAUGAUUGUGUUCCGCUUUUGGAGCACCCGUUUGGUGGCUUCCGGGUUGCUUCAGUUAUCGUUAACAUUAACACAGGGCGUCCUGAUCCGAUCGCCUCCGUGGAGCGAUGUCGGCCACCGGAUCCCCAGAUCACACCCAGAUCACACGGCUGAGAUGGCGCGCAGACGUCCGGUCAGGUUAGCAUGAUCUUGACUAGUAUCAUAAUGCCCAAUGGACCAUGGACGUCAUCAGAUGUGACAGCCCGUGUUUUGUUUUCUUGCUGCACGUAACUACGCUGGAUCUUGGCCAAUCUCAAUGGUCGCACUAGUAUAAUACACAGGACAGAAAAGUAAUGCUCGCCCUGGUAUAAUAAUGCUGAGGAAAUAGUGCAAGGCAGAAAAUUAAUGGUGGCGUGUAACACGAGAGCGACAGGGCUCUUGCCCUUUCCUGCUCCGGCCGGGUAGAAAAUUCAUUGUUUGGCUAGUCACCUCAGGCGUUCGGUCCUUUUUACACCGAUGUCGCCACCAAGAAAAAGGAUAGAACCCAUUUUUAACCGCGCAUGUGGGCGGUUAUUCAAAGCGGACGACUGCUGGGUUGCUCGGUGAGUCUUCUUCUGCCUAUCGUCUCCGCAGCCAAAAUAAGUUUAAGUUGAGAUAAAAUAAUUGGAACCCGCCGCAGCUUUGGAGGUUCAGACGGCAACUUCAAUGGCGCACGGUGUGGCUGCGGAUCGAUGUGCCGAUCACGCGAUUGGCGCUCAUUUACUCCUACCCACCCACCCCGGCUCCAAGAACAUUUCAGCGCCAGGGAAAGAAAAAGAGGACCAAAUCUUACGAACUCUCUCGACUUGUGGGCUUGGGCGAGGGAUGGUGGGGGUGAAAUUUACCUCGUAGAGGCGGACGACGUUGGGGUGCUUGAGCAGCUUCAGCGUCGCGAUCUCCGUCUUUAUCUGCGUGGGCCGCCGCAAGCAAGCAACCACGGUGAGCACCCGGAACGCGCAAGAGCGGGACGGAAGAAAUCGAUUGGGCGGAGGGGGGCGCGCACCUGCUCGUCGAUCUUCAUGGCGAGGAUGCGCUGGCGGUCGAGGAUCUUGAUGGCGAAGGCGCGGCCGGUGUCGGCGUGCCGCGCCAGCCUCACCUUGCCGAAGUGCCCCUCCCCCAGCGUCCGCCCCAUCUCGUACUUGCCCAUCCGCAUUGCCCCCUCCGCCGCCGCCAUGCCGGCCCGGCGCGCGCGCGGGCGCUGGUUCGCCGGCCUGCCGGCACCUCCCUCUCGGCGGGGGUGAAGGUCAAGACGGCUAGGACUCGAGAGCGAGAGCCUGAGCGCGCGCGGGCGCGGGUUCGCCGACCUGCCGGCACCUCUCGGCGGGGGGAAAGGUCAAGAAGACGCGGGAGCAGCUAGGACCCGAGAGCGAGAGCGAGCUAGAGCGAGAGCGAGCUAGAGCGCGCGCGCCCGUGCGUGCGUGGCGGGGUGGACUGGAGGCUGGGAGAACGUUAGGUGGGGGGCAGGGAGAGCGCGGGCUUUUAUCGGAGCUUGGCCCUGGCGGGGUGGUGCCUCGGGUGCUCCAGGGAGUUUUUAUGAGGGAGGAGGAAUGGUUUCUGAUGACCCGACCCAGGCUCAACCUCAAUUUGACUUCAUCAAGCCCUUUUUUUCCCAGUUCCAAAAGAAAAGUUCUUGUUUUUUUAUAGUAUGUUUUUAUGUUUGGAGGAAUCAGGGGGAAUCAGGCUUGGCCGCACGUUAAAGAGUGUGUGUUUGCGUGCGUGUCUUAUCCGGAUGGCGAUUCGCAGAUCAUUCGAAUUAAUUUGUUUGCAUAAUUGAUUAAUUGAAGCUGGGUGAGAAAAGUCGGAGUUCGGUCCGUCUGCUCGACUGUUGAUCGUGUCUUUGGGCGUUUUGUUUCUCGACACUUUGUCAAAUUAUUAGAAAGCUGUAUCGUAUCAUCCACCAAAUGGAACGCCUUUUCGCCUCUCGACGGCCGUUUAUCCUCUCCAAAGCACGCGGGGAGAAUAUGCAACCAUUUUGUGCGUCCCCUUCAGAACAGGAAUAAAAUAAAGGGGGAACAGCUAUGUGUGUCGCGACCACAUUUCAAUUGCGAGAGCUCAUGCGUUGGUGUCAUGCUCUCAAUCAGCAGGCACGCUGAUGUCCAAGUCCAACGCUAGAUUCAAAGACAUGAUUGCCCAGGGGGGCCGAUAUCAUGGUGCUUCGUUGCUUUCUAUCUAGCCUUUGUAGAGCCAGAUCCACGUGUGUGCUCGCAAUUGAAGCCCCUAAAUCAUACGCCACGCACGCAACUACCAGCCCUGAUUACCAGACUUCAUUCCUGGUUCAAAGUACUCGAGUUUUAAAAGGAAAAAUGUUCAAAGUACUAGUAGUACUCGACUGUUGGCUCCAGGUACACGCCAUGGUGUGUGUGUCCGUACAUGUCAAUGAAGCGUCGGGGUAUUACUUAACUGAGUAUAAACCAAAAAUUGCCAAACCAAAUGAAGCAACUCUGCCCCACAUCGAUCGGUCACAGAUUUUGAUUUGAUCCUGACAGGACGUGUAUGUAUGUACGUAUGAUAGUAUGAUACACGAGCGGCGGGACCGCUUCUUGUCCAUACACUCCUAGCGCGACUGCCGUUCACCGCAUCCAUUCAUCCCGAGGCCAUUUGGAGAAAAAACAAUAAUAUUGCGUCCGAGACCGAAGUGAGGCUGCGGCGCGUCUGCUCCUGUGCUGCCGAUCGCCUUCCGCCGAUCCGUGCGUCGGCAUCCGUAUCAGAAUCGCGGCCGGGUGGGGUGGGUGUGGCCUGCGGGUGGCCCCGUUGAUCGGGUCGAGCAGUCCGGUGAUCGGUCGAUCCGGUCGGCGCGGCUGUGCGUGGCCGGCAGGGGCCGCGGGCCGCGGUCACCGCGUUGUCCCCGCCCCGCGCGGCAUCCCACCGUCGCCCAGCCAGAGCGCGCGCUCGCCCUCCUUAUAAUUUCCCGGAGAUUCUGGCCGUGAGCCGCGCCCCCCGCCUGGCGUCGUCUGGUGGCGUCGCCGCUUGCGUGUGCCCCCGCGCGCGUUGACUGGUGGGUGCGGGUGUGGGUGUGGGGCGGUUGCUUCCUGGGUCGCCGGCGCCGCGCGGGGAAGCGUUCGGGUUUUUGCACGCGUUUGCGGCGAAAAGGCUGGCGGCUCCGGGGACUACGGGACCGGAAAAGGAGAAGCCAGCGUUACGGCCCGGUGGCGUGACGCUUUCCAGGGAACAGCUUGACGGCGCCGGUCGACGGCGGUGGCAGCAACGCUUCGAAGGCCGUCCGUGGGCGGCGCGUGGCACCGGCCGAGGGAUGCCGGCGGUGACCGUGGCACGCACGCGCGCUCUUCGGGUGAAUGCUGCUGGCUUGAUCGCUGCGCUUCAGAUCUCGGCCAUACAAUCUUGGGGCUAUAAACUAAAGAGGACCUUCUGCGGUGAAAGAUCGCAGUGUCAGUCGAGUACACAACACCACGUGUUAUCUAAGACGGGCCGUGACGCGUCGGAACUGCACGUAGAUCUGGCGGAUAAGGCCAACUUGCACCGCGCGAUUCCAAACGGACGUCUGUUUUGUCCGGAUUCUAUCCGUUUGGGUAGGGAUUUGGAAUCGUGUCUAGGCGUGUCAUGGGAUGCGGUGGCCGUGCGCUCAACGCGCGGACGCAUCCCGGCCACAUUCUGUCCGCAUGCAUUUUUUCUUUGCAAGUUUUAAUUUUUUUUUCAUUCAUUUUUGAUACAUGACAAUACAUCAUCACAUUUUGACUAGUAAAGUAAGGCCAAGGAAAAUAAAAACAAUAAGAAUACAUUUUAGAAGAUAGCCAACUUCCAUAACUGCCCCCUUAAGUUGGGUUAGGGCCUUCUCGAUGCACUCAUUGUUGAUCUGUGGAGGAGGCUCGAUCUGGCAUCCUCCUUUCUUCUUCAAGCCAGAAGUAGAUGUUGCUUCCUCAGACCUAGUCUCGUGUCUAGCCUCUAAUCUAGCAACAAGUGCAUUUGUCUCAUUUACAGCCUCUAUGCUAGUUAAAAGUGCACCAAUAUGUACUAAAUUUUGCUCUAUCAAUAUAUCGAUGUACUCUUCUUCCCAAUACCAAAACUUGCAUCCAUUCUACACAAUAAAAUUUGAAGUUAGCACAACUAGUCAAAUCUAGAGCACAAACCGAAGCUAGGAAAAGCACAUACCCCAUCGUUUAAGCACUUGAUGAACACCCAUCCGGGAUGUUCCGGCGUUGUAGACAUGCGGCGCACGAUCAUCCUUGGGCAGUGGUCGCACUUAAUAAGUGGCAACGGUGCGCCGACGAGCUUUUGGGCAAGCACCGAGCCCGACCGACCGCCAUUCGUGUAUCUGCCGGCGGACCACCGAGAUGCAGAUCCGAGCGGCUAGAGGAGGAGCCACUGCCUGCAUGUGGCCUUGCGGCCCUGCCAGGGCCUUCCGGCGAGGUGCCCGGCCAGUCCAUGGCGCGGCCCGGCCUCCCACAGCCGUCCGAGCUCAAGACCGACCGGAUCCGCCCCAAAAACGACCGGCGGGUGCACAAACCAGGUGCCCGUGGUUGGGUAGCUCGGCGGCGCCGAGGGGAAAGGGUUGGAUGAGCUUGCGUCGGCGGCGGCAGAGUGGAGGGGGUGCGGCAGCGGCGGCGGCAGCGAGGGGAAGAAUGGGGAAAAGUGGAGGGGGUGCGGCCGGAAGGAGAGAGGGGGGCGGAUAGAAAAAGGCCCGCCUUAUGCCACCGGCGGGCGGGCCAGGGGAGGACACGCGCAGACGACGCGCGUCCGCAUGGUGUCCGUUUCAUCCCAAAAGCGACGCAAACUUGGGCCGUGGAUAGGUCAAAAGCGGACAUAAAAUGGACAAAAUUCCGAUUGCUCCCACGCGCUGGACCGCUUAUUUUGUCCCUUUUACCCAAACGGACGGGACUGAACAGGAUAGGGUCGCGCGGUGGAGUUGGGCUAAGCUCUUCUUUGAAAAUAUAUGGCGCGCGUCGCUCGUGGUGCGCGUGUGCCGCAGGCCCCGGGACGUGCGGCCGUGUUCAAGUUCAACUAUACAACGUGUAUGGCUCAGAAAAAAAUUGUGCAACGUGUGACGUCAAAAGUCAAAGCACGUAUUCUAGAUGAAUCAGCGCGCGCCAAUUGCAAAAUCUGACUCGCAAACUAUUUUUUGCAAAAUUUGAUCGCGAAAAAAAUAUGCAUCAGCGCCGGCGUGGGAAAGAUGACGCAUGCUACGCGUCGGCCGACUUAUUAUCUAGAAUCGGCCGGUCUGUUUGCCGUCAGAUAAUUUCAAAUUUAACACAUUUUUUCAUGAAUACGCAAAGCUUACAUAUCAUUUCAUUGGUAGAAAAAGUUAGAAUGAGUACAUAACCUAAUACAAUACAUGGCAAGAUGCGUGAACAUGGUGUAAUCCAGCACCAAGGACACCGCGAGCAAACAAAGACAACACCUUCACGAAGGAGAAUGAUAUCAAAGACGCCAUCUUCGUCCGAUCUAGAAAACCAGACCUAGGGUUUCCUCUGAUGCUCGAAGAGGGGCACAUAUAACGGCCACGCAGCGCCUCCAAGAAGGGACGACACCCCGCAUGUGUCGCCGCUGCCAGCAUAGGAUGUAGGGAUUUCGUUCUGGCCAAGAUCAGAGCAAUCCCAAGUCGGCGGAGCACGAAGCGGAGAAGAGGAAGUUGGGCAUAAGCCGAAGCUACGACUGCAAGAAGGGGAGCCACGCUCGACGCUAAAGGAGCCACCAGGCACUGCCGGACGUGCGAGCUUUGGAGGAGGGCAAGGUUGCGUGGCUGAGCGGAAUGAGAGGCGACGGGGAUGCAACGGUGGCCAAAGAUCCGGACAAGGCAAGAUCUGGAAGGGAGCACACAUCCACGCCACCGGGACCGGAGCAGCAGGGACGCCAGCGGGCUCAAGGAGUUGUAAGGGGGUGCAUCUCCCGGACCGUUUAGGAAUACACNNNNNNNNNNNNNNNNNNNNNNNNNNNNNNNNNNNNNNNNNNNNNNNNNNNNNNNNNNNNNNNNNNNNNNNNNNNNNNNNNNNNNNNNNNNNNNNNNNNNNNNNNNNNNNNNNNNNNNNNNNNNNNNNNNNNNNNNNNNNNNNNNNNNNNNNNNNNNNNNNNNNNNNNNNNNNNNNNNNNNNNNNNNNNNNNNNNNNNNNNNNNNNNNNNNNNNNNNNNNNNNNNNNNNNNNNNNNNNNNNNNNNNNNNNNNNNNNNNNNNNNNNNNNNNNNNNNNNNNNNNNNNNNNNNNNNNNNNNNNNNNNNNNNNNNNNNNNNNNNNNNNNNNNNNNNNNNNNNNNNNNNNNNNNNNNNNNNNNNNNNNNNNNNNNNNNNNNNNNNNNNNNNNNNNNNNNNNNNNNNNNNNNNNNNNNNNNNNNNNNNNNNNNNNNNNNNNNNNNNNNNNNNNNNNNNNNNNNAGCCAAAGAAGCCGGAAAGAGCGCAACUCCCGGGGCGCGUCGGAUCCAAAGCCAUGUCGCCCAUGGACACGGGAGGGGUCGCGGUUCCAUGGUCGCUGGGCCGAAGCUGCCCCUGCUAGGGGUGGGUGGGUGGUGAAGGAGACUCACGCGUAGGCAAAUCUCUGAAGGAAAUAUGCCCUAGAGGCAAUAAUAAAGUUAUUAUUUAUUUCCUUAUUUCAUGAUAAAUGUUUAUUAUUCAUGCUAGAAUUGUAUUAACCGGAAACAUAAUACAUGUGUGAAUACAUAGACAAACAGAGUGUCACUAGUAUGCCUCUACUUGACUAGCUCGUUGAUCAAAGAUGGUUAUGUUUCCUAAACCAUAGACAAAGAGUUGUUAUUUGAUUAAUGGGAUCACAUCAUUAGGAGAAUGAUGUGAUUGACUUGACCCAUUCCGUUAGCUUAGCACUCGAUCGUUUAGUAUGUUGCUAUUGCUUUCUUCAUGACUUAUACAUGUUCCUAUGACUAUGAGAUUAUGCAACUCCCGUUUACCGGAGGAACACUUUGUGUGCUACCAAACGUCACAACGUAACUGGGUGAUUAUAAAGGAGCUCUACAGGUGUCUCCAAAGGUACAUGUUGGGUUGGCGUAUUUCGAGAUUAGGAUUUGUCACUCCGAUUGUCGGAGAGGUAUCUCUGGGCCCUCUCGGUAAUGCACAUCGCAUAAAGCCUUGCAAGCAUUGCAACUAAUGAGUUAGUUGCGAGAUGAUGUAUUACAGAACGAGUAAAGAGACUUACCGAUAACGAGAUUGAACUAGGUAUUGAGAUACCGACGAUCGAAUCUCGGGCAAGUAACAUACCGAUGACAAAGGGAACAACGUAUGUUGUUAUGCGGCCUGACCGAUAAAGAUCUUCGUAGAAUAUGUAGGAGCCAAUAUGAGCAUCCAGGUUCCGCUAUUGGUUAUUGACCGGAGACGUGUCUCGGUCAUGUCUACAUUGUUCUCCAACCCGUAGGGUCCGCACGCUUAAGGUUUCGAUGACAGUUAUAUUAUGAGUUUUGAUGUACCGAAGGAGUUCGGAGUCCUAGAUGAGAUCAGGGACAUGACGAGGAGUCUCGAAAUGGUCGAGACGUAAAGAUCGAUAUAUUGGACGACUAUAUUCGGACAUCGGAAAGGUUCCGAGUAGUUCGGGUAUUUUUCGGAGUACCUGAGAGUUACAGGAAUACGAGGGAAGAAGUAUAUGGGCCUUAUUGGGCUUUAGGGGAGAGGAAGAGGCAGGCCGCGCGCCCCCCCAUUGACUAGUCCGAAUUGGACUAGGGGGAGGGGCGGCGCCCCCUCCUUCCUUCUCUUCCCUCUUCCCCUUCCUUGUCUCCUACUCCUACUACUUGGAAGAACUCCUAGUUGGACUAGGAAAGGGGGAAUCCUACUCCCGGUGGGAGUAGGACUCCCCUAGGGCGCGCCAUAGAGAGGGCCGGCCCUCCUCUCCUCCACUCCUUUAUAUACGGGGGCAGGAGCACCCCAUAGACACACAAGUUGAUCUUCGUGAUCGUUCUCUUAGCCGUGUGCGAUGCCCCGCUCCACUAUACUCCUCGAUAAUAUUGUAGCAGUGCUUAGGCGAAGCCCUGCGACGGUAGAACAUCAAGAUCGUCACGACGCCGUCGUGCUGAAGGAACUCUUCCCCGACACUUUGCUGGAUCGGAGUCCGGGGAUCGUCAUCGAGCUGAACGUGUGCAGAACUCGGAGGUGCCGUACAUUCGGUACUUGGAUCGGUCGAAUUGGAAAGACGUACGACUACUUCCUCUACGUUGUGUCAACACUUCCAUUGCCAGUCUACGAGGGUACGUAGACAAUACUCUUCCCUCUCGUUGCUAUGCAUCACCAUGAUCUUGCGUGUGCGUAGGAAUUUUUUUGAAAUUACUACGUUCCCCAACAAUCUCCCGGUCGGCGCGCUGCAGGAAGCAGCUGCCGCCAGGCACAACCAGGCAUCUCCAAGGCCGCCUCCCAAAGAGGUUGACCCGAAGAUGGACCAGGGGAUGGGGCGGAGGGUGGGGAGCCGCAGCGACUAGGGCAUGUCCGACCACCAUGAAGGACGGCCGAAGAGCAACAUGACCGGCCAGGGCAACCCUAGAUCCCAUCUGGGCAGACCUAAGUUGAGGAGCUGCAAUCGAGGGAGGCCACCUGUACCGCCAGUGCAUCGAGGAAGGCCGCCCCUGCCAUCGGUGGAGGCCAUCGGGGCCGUCCGAGACCCGACCUAGGGGGAUGAGGGGCGGAGAUGAGUGCAAGGGGCGAGGGGGGAGAGAAAUAGCCUCGCCUUCGGCUCGCUUUAGUGCUUGUUGUCAUUGCUAGGUGAUUUGCACAUCUGGAUGUAAUUCUUACCUCUAGUGUUCUUUAUACUGCUUUGACAGUUGAUGAAUGGAUCAAAAGUUUUUCUUGAAAAGGAGGUAGACACUAGUACUUUGCAAAGAAGUGUAAGCAAUUUCCAGUUAUAAUGUUGUUGAAGCAGUUUUCAUUUUAACAAAGAAGUUGAAGUUUCAUUUUAAUAGAUAAGUUGAAGCAGUUUGUGUUUAUAGAGAAGAUGAAGCAGUUGUAGCGUGGACAAAACUUGAAGCAGCAGGAGCACCACCAGUAGUAAUGGCUUCAUACCUCGUGCCACCAAAUCUCCACACAGCCGGCCGGCUAAAAAUGGAAGCCGCCGCGGCAACGAACCCUAGCCCUAUCCGUCGGAGCCACUAAAAUACCGGUCUAGAUUCGCCACCGCUGCUUCAAAUGGCCGAUCCACACCGUGACCACCGUCAGUGGUCCACUGCCGCCCCACGUACUACGCGUAGCUCAACCCUGCAUGCCAGGCCCAAAUCAUGGCGGAGAUAGCUGCGGUGGUCCAAGCGUGCGCAGUGGCCUCUAACUUGAGCUCCUCUCCAGAGUCCGAAUCGAAGGAGAGGUCGAGUUGACGUUAUUGUCGCUGCCAUAGAGGACAAAAGUUGUCAAAUAUUGUAUGAGAAAGUUGUAUUCCACGAACUGAUUGCCUUUUCGCUUCUUAAUGGUUGUUUAUCUUUUGGGCCAUUUGCAUUUCUGUCCCUAACUCAAACCAUCUAAUGAGAUAUACCCCUAAUUUGAAAGCCUGCUCAAAUUUGCCCCUCCGCCGUUAGGUGCCCUUAAAGAAAUGCCCUUCUGCGUCGUUACCGUCCGGUCAAACAGCUUUGAUCGUCCUAAAAAUAGCAAAAAAAUCUAAAAUUUUAUGAGAUCGAAGAUACUCAUGUGCGCAAGGUGUGUGCAAAUUUUCAUGCUAUUUGGACAUUCCAGGAGCUCGUGGCGAGGAAAAAUAGUUAAUCUGCACGCUUGUGAACAGGUAAAUUUGAAAUAAAAUAGCAAGAAAAUUAAAAAAUGAAUUCUUUUGGCAUUAAAGAGGCUUGGGUGCACAAGGUGCUUGCAAGUUUUUGUGAUCAAAUGACAUGCGAGGAGCUCUAGCAAGAAAAAACAAAAUAGUCAUUUUUCCCAAGUUUUUUCCUGAGCCAAAUAUUGUUUUUUUCUCCACAAGCCCCUCCAAUGUCCAAAUACAACAAAAAAUUGCACGCAGCUUGCAGACCCGAGCCUCUUUGAUGCCAAAAAAUUUCAUAUUUUUUUUGAAUUUUCUUGCUAUUUUUUUGAAUUUACUAUUCACAUGCUUACAUAUUUAUCUUUUUCCUUUGACACGAGCUCCUGGAAUGUCCAAACAGCACGAAAAUUUGCACGCACCUUGCGAACCAGAGUAUCUUUGAUACCACAAAUUUUCAGAUUUUUAAGAUUUUUUUGCUAUUUUUUUCAGGACGGUCAAAGCCCUUUGACCUGCUUUGACCGGACGGUAACGGCACAGAAGGGUAUUUUUUUGCCAAAAAACUUUCAAUCUACUCAUCUUCAAUCAUGGUAGUACAACGAACACUAGAAAUAAUAAAAAUUAUAUCCAGAUCCGUAGACCACCUAGCGAUGAUUACGAGCAUUGGAGCGAGCCGAAGGCGCGUCNNNNNNNNNNNNNNNNNNNNNNNNNNNNNNNNNNNNNNNNNNNNNNNNNNNNNNNNNNNNNNNNNNNNNNNNNNNNNNNNNNNNNNNNNNNNNNNNNNNNNNNNNNNNNNNNNNNNNNNNNNNNNNNNNNNNNNNNNNNNNNNNNNNNNNNNNNNNNNNNNNNNNNNNNNNNNNNNNNNNNNNNNNNNNNNNNNNNNNNNNNNNNNNNNNNNNNNNNNNNNNNNNNNNNNNNNNNNNNNNNNNNNNNNNNNNNNNNNNNNNNNNNNNNNNNNNNNNNNNNNNNNNNNNNNNNNNNNNNNNNNNNNNNNNNNNNNNNNNNNNNNNNNNCAUUGCCGAUGAAGAGAGUUGUAGAUUGGAAAGAUCAAACCUGGAACCACGCGAACGAAGAUGGACAAAAACUAGAUCCAAAGAGAUCCACCGAAGACCAGCACCGAUUGAAUCCCAUGAGAUCCGACGGAGACACACCUCCACACAUCCUCCGACAACGCUAUUCGCACCAUCGGGACAGAGAUAGGACGUGGGAGACAUUAUUACUACGGAGGGACAAAAACUUGAUCCAAAGAGAUCCACCGAAGACCAACACCGAUUGAAUCCCAUGAGAUCCGACGGAGACACACCUCCACACAUCCUCCGACAAUGCUAUUCACACCAUCAGGACGAAGAUAGGACGUGGGAGACAUUAUUACUACGGAGGGACAUCGCUGCCGCCACACAGUCCCAACCAAGACGUUCAACCUAGCAAAAACGAGAACGGGGUCCCUCCCGCCGGCGGGGGGCCGAGAUCCUCCGCACCUCCAUAGGCCAAAGGCCAUCGAAGGCCGGGCGGAUCCGCGAUGGCGCCGACGAGAGGAGGAAGGAGACGUUUCUUGUGGAGGAGGAAAGGUAUUUAUGUAAGUGCACCUAACGACGGAGGGGUAAAUUUGAGCAGACUUUGAAAUUAGGGGUAAAUCUGAGAGUGGACGCAAAUUAGGGGCAUAAAUAUAAAUGUCCCUUAUCUUUUUUAGAACACGUGGGAGAAUAACUAUUUGUGUUUUCUUCAGACCAGGGCAUGAAAAAAGGGGAGCAGCUAAACUUAGACGCUCCCGUAGCACUUGAUAUUUUCCCGUGUGUCUCUGCCACAUUUCAAUUGCGAAAGCUCAUCCGUUAGGCUGGUCAUAGUGGGGAGUAACUUAGACUAGUGUCAUAUGCAUGACACUAGUCUAAGUUACUACCUUUGAAAGGAUCGAUAUGGUUGACUAGAGGGUGCGGGGGGUGAAUAGGCAACUACCAAUUUUUAGCUUUUCUUUACCAAAUUAAACUUUGCAUCAAAGUAGGUUGUCUAGAUGUGCAAUUAGGUGAGCAACCUAUAUGAUGCAAUAACAACAAGCAUACAAGCAAUCAAGGGUAGAAACACUAAAGAGCUUGCACAAGUAAAGGUAAGAGAUAACCAAGAGUGGAUCCGGUGAAGACGAGGAUGUGUUACCGAAGUUCCUUCCUUUUGAGGGGAAGUACGUCUCCAUUGGAGCGGUGUGGAGGCACAAUGCUCCCCAAGAAGCCACUAGGGCCACCGUAUUCUUCUCACGCCCUCACACAAUGCGAGAUGCCGUGAUUCCACUAUUGGUGCCCUUGAAGGCGGCGACCGAACCUUUACAAACAAGGUUGGGGCAAUCUCCACAACUUAAUCGGAGGCUCCCAACAAGACCACGAAGCUUCACCACAAUGGAAUAUGGCUUCGAGGUGACCUCAACCGUCUAGGGUGCUCAAACACCCAAGAGUAACAAGAUCCGCUAGGGAUGAGUGGGGGAAUCGAAAAUCCCUUGGUGGAAGUGUAGAUCGGAGCCUUCUCAAACACUCCCGAGCAAAUCAACAAGUUUGAUUAGCUAGAAAGAUAGAUCGGGCAAAAAUGAAGCUUGGAGUAUUUAAUGGAGCUUGAGCAAUAAAUGGAGCUUGGGGAGGAAGAGGUAGGUGAGAAGGAAGAAGGGGACUCCCUUUUAUAAUGGGGGCAACAAUCCUGUUGCCCCCCACCAACCAGCCCCGCACAGGGCGGUACUACCGCUGAGAGGGGGCGGUACUACCGCCAGGACAACGGUACUGCCGCUCCAGCCAGCGGUACUACCGCGCUGAGGAGACUAGUAGGGACCGGACCCAAAUACGGUACUACCGCGGUGGUAGGGCGGUACUACCGCUGCUGGAACGGUACUACCGCCACUACAACCGUGACUAGUGCCGCAAAACCCGACACGAGAAAAAGACCUCUUGAAUUGAGGCGGUUGGAGCCAGACUGCCCAGCGGUACUACGGCAGUGGGGUCAGGGGCGGUAGUACCGCUGUGGAGCGGUACUGCCGCUUGUGACCCUUCGGUCGUAGUACCGCAGGCAGUGCGGUACUACCGCUGGGGCGCGCGAGAGAGAAAAAAUCUCUCAAAGAAGCUGAGGACAAGGCGGAGGUGCCAGGCCCCCAGCGGUACUACUGCUGUGGAGCCACGGGCGGUACUACCGCUGCGGAGCCGAGCGGUACUACCGCUUGGCUCCUCAGCGGUACUACCGCUGGGUGCGCGGUACUACCGCUUUGAUCCAGACAGGACAAGGAAGAGAGGAGAGAUCUCUUCAAUGGAAAGGAAAUGCUCGGAUGGUGAGAAGCUGAUGUGUACGUGAUGAUUCCAUCCAUGCAAAACCCCAGCGGACCCCCUCUUGAUAGUACGGUGCCCUCUACGCAACUAGUCCACCGAGAAAGAAACGAAAGAGCUACACCGUCUUGAAAUACACUCCGAGGGGAAGAAGGCGUCUCAUGCCAGGGAAGAAACUAUGAAUUAUUCAAAGCACACGAUUAAUCCGCAAACAUGUUGUCAUCAAUCACCAAAACUACCUUGAGAAAGAUAUGCCGUAACAACCUUCAUAAUGCAAAGUAACAUGAUGGUAGUGUCAUAAAUGACUUCAUUUAUUAGCUUGUAGACUCAUCUUGGCUUGGGAAGCAAUGACUUCAUUUAUUACAGUAACAUAUUAUGUUACCACCUCACACUAAAUACUUGCCACAUAAGUAAAAAUUUCUUGGAAUACGUUAUGUUACUAGGUAAAUUACUCCCACUAUGACUAGCCUUAGUCAUAGUGGGAAGUAACUUAGACUAGUGUCAUGCAUAUAACACCAGCCUAAAUUACUACCUUCAUAAUGUAAAAUAACAUAACAGUUGUACUCCCUCCAUCACAGUUUAAAGGGCGUACCUCACAUCUCUCUAGGCCCAAGGUCGCUAGCGAUUGGCAGGAAUAAAUGAUGCGCUGGAGCUGCGUUAGUUAAGGAUAUGUGCCUAAUUAAUCGCUAAACAAACGCAUAGUAAUCUCCCCGUCCAAUAAAAGGCCUCGCACAGCCAUGCAUGCAAACAAAAUCGGUUCACACCUCCACCUAAAGUUUCAGUUCACACCAUGCAUGCGCACGAGGAAGGCAAGCGAAAGGAGUAAUUUCAGUGGGCUAAUUAAUGACCUGCGCCCUAUUUUUCUCUAAUUGUGCAAAAAAUUUGUUUUGGAGAUACGCCCUUUAAAGUGUGAUGGAGGGAGUAUCUUAGAUGACUUCAUUUAUUAGCUUAUAGACUCAUCUUGUUUUGGAAAGCAUUAUGUUACAGUAACAUAUUAUGUCACCACCUCUCAUUAAUUACUUGCCACAUAAGCAAAAAUUUCUUGUAGUGCGCUAUAUUAUUAGCUAAGUUACUCCCACUAUGACUAGUCUUAGGCUGGUUGUAAUGGGGAGUAUCAUAUACUAGUAUCAUGCAUAUAAUACUAGUGUGUGAUACUAACUCCGUAAUGCAUAGUAUCAUAAGUUAGUAUCUUAGAUUGCCUUAUUAAUUGCCAUGCAUGACACAAACUAGCGAAGCAUUUAAUAUGAUACGGUAUCAUGAUAUGAUACUACAUCCUCUUUUUCCUCAUUUAAUUGUGUGCCACAUCAUCCAAAACAUCUAGUUAGCAUGCAUGAUACUACUUAUGAUACUCCCACUACAACCAGCCUUAGGCUGCUGCCAAUGCAUGGGUGCUUAGGGCAUCUUCAAUGGUCGUAAGAUAGUUGUUGGUAGACUUUGCCACAUAGGAUUUUUGAUGAUGUGUCAUACAAUAAAUGAGGAAAGAGAGAGAGGUUGUAUAUACAUGAACCAACACCCCGUGCACAAGCUCCAAUGUAGAAUGAGAGAGCACCUUAUUUAUUAUCUCACAUCCUAUUGGGCAAACUAAAUACAACCCAUUGGAGUUGUUGUAUGUUAAGGUGUUGGAAGAUGACAUGACAUAUUUUACCAACAAGCUAACAUACAAACUGUUGGAGAUGCCCUUAGAUGAGGUGCUAAGCACAUUAAAUAGCUUAGCAACUAUACUCCCCAAUGCAUAGAUGCUUAGCUUAUGGUUGCUAAGCUUGCUUCAUUUAAUAAUUUAGCAACUAAAGCUCUUCAUGUAUUGGUGGGCUCCCUUCUUUUAAAUGUUUUGCCUAGGUUCACGCGCUUAGCAUUGGUUCUUCCUGGGUCACCACACCCAUCUCUCUCCUCUUAAAUAACUUGCCACAUCAGAUUUUUGCCUACGUGAAAGACUUAGCACCUGUAUAAAAUAAAGCAUUGGGAGGGGCCUUAGUGUCAUGUUCCUCAAUCAACUGGCGUGUUGAUUCCCAUCUACUAGUAGCUACUCUAGAUUCAAAGGCACACCAAUGAUUGGCAGAACAGAAUCAUGACGCUUCAUUACUCUCUGGCCGCUAGUGUUUCUCGCAGAUCCACGUGUGUGCUCGUAAUUGAAGCUCCUGAAACAUGCACUAGCACGCAAGCAACCACCAAUCAGGUUCAACGUUUUUUUUUUCAACUCAAAAAAGGAAAAAGGUUCAGCGUUUUUUUAUCUGCGAGAUUCAGAUCCAAAGUGAACUGACCAAAUGAAGUACUAGCCUGUCCCACACCAUAGAUUUGAUCCCGACAGGAGAUGCACCUAUGAUACACGAGCGGCAUCCUGAUGAAUGACAGGUGACAUUCACAAAUCACAAAGCAUCAUUCAUCAGGAUGGGUCUUGUGUGAGACCUAGUCUUAUAAAAUUCUUUUCCUGUCCAUAUGCUCGUAUCCGCGCGAUUGCCGGUCACCGCAUCCAUUCAUCCUGAGAUCAUUUUGGAGUAAAAAACAAUAAUAUUGUGUCCGAGACCGACCCGCUGGCCGGCGGUGGCCAUCCGCGCGUCGACAUCCGGAUCAGAAUCGCGCCCGGGUGGGGCGGGUGUGGCCUGCGGACGACCCCGUUGAUCGCGUAGUCCAGUGAUACGGUCGCCGCAGCUGUACGUGACCGGCAGGGGCCGGACACCGCGUUGUCCCCGUCCCGCGCGGCACCCCCACCGUCGCCCGGCGUCGUCAGGUGGCGUCGCCGCACGCGUUGACCAGCGGGUGGGGGCGUGGGGGGUUGCUUCCUGGAUCGCCGGCGCCGCGCGCGCGGGGAAGCGUUCGCGUUUCUGCACGCGUUUGCGGCGAAGACGACGCCGGGUCCGGGGACUAUGGAGCCGGAAAAAGGAGGGCGCGUGUAGCCUGCAGCGUGUCGUCGGUCGUGGAUGGCAUGGCGCUUAUCCUUUUUCCCCGUUAAAACUGUGGCUGGCUAGCUAGCUCGCGGACCGCUUGACGGCUUGACGGGGCAGGAGAUUGGAUCAUGUGCAUGGCUAGAUUUGGAGAACGUGCGGGUUGACGGCGCCGGCGCCCACGUCGACGGGAGCGACGCUUCGAUGGGCGUCCAUGGGCGCGGCGUGGCACCGGCUGCGGGACACCGCGGUGACACGCGCGCGCGCUCUCGACGAUGCAGUUUUUGGGUCUGCACUGGAUCACGUGCAUUUCUGCUUGGCUUGAUCGCUGCAGUUCACGCCUCGGCUCGGCCGAUCCGAUCACAUGCGCGCGUCCGUGGCCAUGCAAUGCGUAUAACCAAGAGGACCUUUCUACGGCGAGGACACAGUGUCAGUUGUGCAUCUCAGACGGCCCAUCACGCGUCGGAACUCGUGGAUAAGAUCUUCUAAGAAAGGGCAGCACGUGUCGCUCAUGGUGCGCGCCUGCCACAUGCACGACCCCAACCACAGGAAUCUUCAAGCAGACAAGCACUACCAUCAGAAAGUCAAAAGUCAAAACACAUAAAUGCACGCAGGAAAGAGCGGCGGGUGAAAAUCGCGGAAAGGGAAGGUAAAGUUUGGCGAUCGGCCGGCCGAUCGAACGAAUCGAUCGGUCACCCCCUCGGGUUCCCAUGUGCGCCCUUGAUGGUGGGCGGUCGUGCCGCAACCGCCGAGUUGAGGUGAUACAAGCGACAUUCGUCGAAUGGGCGGGGCGUACGGAAUGCUGAAACCAACGCGGGCAGGUGUUGCGACCGACAAUGUGGAAAGCUAGGAUGGGGUUCAAGACCGUGCUGAAACCAUAUGUGCGCGUGUGUCAACCGCCGCAGGCUGUGUUGCACCCAGGUGUUGCAAGCUGGGGCGGAACGUCAAUGCGCAAAGCGGUGUUGCGAGGGACACAAGUAGAUGAGCUAGCAGUGUAGCGAGGUCGUAGGGGCGGGCAAGCUGUGUAAAGAGAAGAACUUCACGAGAGAGAAGGGCAAAAAUGCUACACACACGGAACAAAUUCACAUGCCUUUACGGAACAGCUGAUUUGUCCUUUUUUAAUUAGGCUAAUUAACCUUCCUCCUAAUUAACCGCCGCCCCCUCCCCCUAUUCUAAGUUGUGGGGGUGGGCGCCAAACCCCGUAAAGCUCCGUAUUACUCCGUGUGUGUAGCAAAGCCGGAGAGAAGGGUGGAUGAGCAGAGCGAAGUGGGGGGUGCCCUUUGAUAUACCGGCUCCGCACGCCAGUCGUACCGCUGGUCUUAGGCGAUCGAUCGAGGGGACGUACCGGUCAACUAUUCAGUGUCAGUAUGGGAGAGAUAUCUUUUUUGAGGGGCGGGAUUUGGUAGAUAGGGAAAACUAUGACGCUCAGCCUCGUGACCUGUAUUCCCCACGUAGGUCGAUCUAUAUCGAGCAAAUUAACAAACUCGCACCCUCCCGCAAUAUACACAGCGUAUUGGCCCGACCUGUUCACUUGUUUUUUGUGUGCUUCCCACAGUUUCUAAUGUAUUUUUAUUUCAAUUUUUUUCUUUUUCUUUUUUAUCUCACGAGCAUUUUUUAAAAUUGUGAAACAUUUUUCCAAAUCAUGAACAAAUUAUGAAUUCGCCAACAAAAUUUCAAAUUAUGAACAUCUUUAAUUUGGGGGAUUUUUUUGUAAUUCCGGAAUAUUUUGCAAAUUCAUGAACAUUUUGUGAAAUUGUUAAUAUAUGCCAAUAUGUGAACUUUUUUUAAAUAUGGAAUAAAUUUUCGUUUUGUGAACUACUUUGGAAAUCCAGGAAUAUUUUUUGAAACAAUUGAGUAUUUUUUACUUGGAAUAUUUUUAGAAAUUCACGAAUAUUUUUCGAAAUUCAUGAUCAUUUUUUGGAAUUCGGAAAUAUUAUUUCAAAUUCAUGAACAUUCUUUGAAAUUUGUCAACAUUUUUAAAUCUAAUAAUAACUUUUGAAAUCCGUGAUUUUUUUCAAAAUCUUGAUUAUUUUUUAAAUUUUUUGAAUAUUUUUUGAAAUCAUGGAACAUUGUUUCGAGUUCGUAAACAUUUUUUUAAUUUUGAAAUUUUCAUUGAAUUUGUGAUUGAUUAGCAUUUUCCAGAAUUACUAGCUAAUUGCUCGUGCAUCUAGGGGGGAAUAAUUUUCAACACAACAACAGUAGAUGAAAAAUGCACCAGUGAACCCGUCGCAUCAUUGGUGUCUACAGCCUGUCUUCUUUGACUAAGUGAGAGGGAGAAGGGGAUAUAUGAAUCAUGUUUUUAGAAAAUUCAAACUUCCAAAACCUCGGCAUUCUAAGAGAUCCAAGCAUGAUCUCCUAAUCGUAGCGCACAUGUGAGUCGCUACACAAUCAAAUGUGCGCAUGAAAUAAUCUGAACAUGCCAAAAUAAUAAAGAUGUAUGAUGUGCCAUGCAUGGUACACAAAUUAUGAAAUUGAUGCGUAAGGUAAGUACAUUAUGCGAUAUAUGAAUUUGAUGCAAAGGCAAGUUAAUUAACAUGAAAGUCAUGCAGUCGGGCAAAAGGUAAGUUAAUUAAUGUGACUGAGCGGCGUACGGGAAGAUGCGGUCAAAUAUGGCAUCAUGGGAGAAAAACCGGUUCAACAAAAAAAAGCUAGAUGGACAUGGUAGGAGGGAGGGGACUGGUUGACAAUGAGUCUGCUAGGAAAAAGAAUCAUAUGUAUGUUUAAGUAGUAAAGAGAUAAAAAAGAAAUAAACAAUGAAAAAAGGGAGGGCCUAUCCCGCACUUGGGCCAGCCCAAAACGCGCGCGCAUUGGAGCUGGAAUGCGUGAUUACUCGGUUUUCCCCACGCAACGCGGGGAUUAUGAGCGAAAUCACUAGUUAAAGGUGUAUCCUUGCAAAUGUCACUCUCACCUUCUAAUGCUCUGACAACUGAAAUACUGCGUGUGUGCCACUUGUCGCAACCUAUGAACUUUCCAUUUUUUUUCAUAUAUAUUCAUUUAUUCAAAACAUUUUAUCACUUGAACCAUGUUUUCAAAUCCUGAAUUGUUUUCACUGUUGGAUUUCUAUAUCAAGAUCUUUGAAAUUAGAUCCCAUAUUUCGCCGCGGGAUCGCGAGUGGUGAGAAGGCCCGCUUGGCGCAAGCAAAAAAGUAUGCCCACUUGGCGCGUGAAGCCUUUUGGUUUAGCAAAUCCUGGAGCUGCCUAGGUCCAAAAUCAUUAAUUAAGAAGUACUAGUAUAACGCCCGUGCGUUGCCACGGGCUCUUCAAAAUUUUAUAAUCAGUAUCUUUCAUUUAUCAUCCCCUCAUAUUGGGUGAUUAUGGGGUGCUCUAAUUAGAAACACAACAAUCAAAUAUUAGGAAAUUUCACCGAACGAACAACAACGAAUAAUACGAUAUCUAUCAAACGAAUAAAAUGAGGUCAUAUUUUUGGUCCGUCAUGCACUUCUGUUGAAAAGUGCCUAUCCCUUUUAGAAUCAACCCACUGUUUGCUCGCACGCAAAAAAAAAUACAUCUCUAAAGUGGGGAACCGAUCGGUGCCAAAAAGAACUCAAACUCCUAUCCAAUCUCGACUUCGUGCUCUUCCACUUCCAUUGAUAAAGAUGGGACGUCAAGGGUUUCAUCAUGAUGACCUCGAGCAGCCGCCGACAUCCCUCCCCACAUCUACCCCUACCCCCUGCUGCCGCUUGCACUGUCCUUGCUCCUCGAGGGAGCUAGGGACACAAUGUUCUCUAGGAUGGGCAUGACCAGAUCCACGAGGAGGCCACAUUCUUCCAUGGGAACCCAACCAAGCACAUCACCCUCCGCAACCAUCCAAUCCCAGCCUAACAAAGUCAAGACCCGCCAUCGAUUCACAAAUCAGGCUCGCCGCAUCCAGGUUCACUGCAAGUCUGCGACGAGUCUGUAGUCGACAUCUUGACUUUGGCUAUCCCCACGGAAGAAUCAUCGGAUCCUGCUUACUUUUACCAUCACUUCGUCUCUUCCCAAGGCAGCGACACCACCCAGCCAAUCACCACCACCGCUUGCGGCUUGCCUAUAUAAAAUCAUACGAGAAAUCCCCACGGCGGUGCUGUAAGAUCACCUUGGCGACCUCGACAGUGACCGACUGGUCUAAGAUCUAAGCUAGCCGCUCUUUGUAGAAACCAAUAGAAGUAGGCAUGUGACUCAGAUUUGUUCUUUGGUGUGCAUGCGUUUCUUGCUGCCCACCAGCUCUUGUCUACAACUCGCCUAUAUCUGUACCAGCUCUUGGUCUACAACUCGCCUAUCUCCAUGCUCGAGAAUCUGGAGUGUAGUAGUUAAAAAAGACCAACUUUAUACUCAUUUGAUAAUUCAACGUGCAUGGGCAUGCACCGGAUGGAAUUCACGCUCUAUGUAAAAUCUGGAGUGUAAUGACCGUGGUUGAUGAAUGAAUGUCUUAUUUCCGCAAAAAAAGAAGUUAAAGGUGAAUAUAUUCCUCAUGUUAGAGUACAAACAGAGCAUAUAGUGGUGACCUAGUUUCUUUUGAUUGAGGUGAAUACAUGCCAGUACUAAAAUCUUCUAAUUUCUUUUGAUUGAAUCCAAGUUGUCUCUUUUCUUUCGAUUUAGCAAAGCUAGUUCGAAUAAAUAGGAUUGUCUAUAUCUUAACUCCUUUGCCAAUUAAGCUUCAAAAUUGCAGUCUGAUUCAGAAACAAUCGAACGAUUGUGUCGUUAACUCCAGGAGAUUCUUGUUAAAUCUUAGGAACGCUGCAAGCCAUCAUAUCAUAUAAGAAUAAGAUCGACAAUUGAUAUGGACAGAUAUUACUACAAUCAUAUUAGUACUACUCGCACACUGAUAUGGACAGAUCAUACAAGAUCGAAGGUACAUAAGAUAAGGUCCUCUAGAUUACGAAAAACUGUUUGCUUCGCCUCAUGUGAGACGGACCCCGAGCUAUUCUUCAAUGGCGCACCGCGCGCACAUAUUUGGCGGCGAAGUAACUCGUUAUCCUAAGGACGUCCCCGUCAAGCCCGUCGACAGCGUCACCCUUUUCCAUCUCCCCGGCUGGACCUCGCCGAGUUUCCACCGUCGACGGCCUGCCGCCGCCGCAUUCUGCUGCACGAAGGAGAUCAACGACGGUUUAGACGUGCACGGGUGCAGCAGAGCAGAUCGACCGACGGAUCGGUUGACAACACGUACCGUCGCAGGCCGCGUGGCCGUGGUGGGGGGUGGCGGCGCUCAAGGUGCCCUGCGCCUCGCAUUCGCAGGGCGAGACGGCGCUCGUGGCGCUGGUGCCGAUCUCCUCCUCCGGACGAACGAGGAGCCAGCCGUCCAAGCUAGGCAAGGGAGCCAACGGCGGCCUGCAGCGCUGCCGGCUCGACUCCUUGCAGCUGUGUUUUGAUUUUCGGUUUGAGCUUUUUUUCGCCCUAGGCCGAGAUGGACGAAUUUCGGCCAUUUACAAAAAUUUCGGCUGAAAUUUGAUCAAAUUUUAGGUGCGAUUUGACUUAAAUUUGACCAAAAUUUACCAAAUUUGAGCAAUUUCGGCCUAAAUAUACUUUUCGCCCCAGGCCGAGAUGGCCGAAAUCCAUUUUUUCCGGCCGAAAAUCAAAACACAGCCUUGCAGUAGGCGAUCGCGCUCGCGACGGCCUCCUCCCUCGCCCGGGCGGUGCCGUCCUCGCCGGCGGCGACCCUCCCGUCCGGCUUCGUCGCCCGGCCCUUCCGUCUCCCGCGCCCGUUUGGCCGCUCGUCCGCAGCACCGGCGCGCUGCAGAUUUCUGGCGAACCUGCGCAGGCACCGCCUUAGCGCGUGGCCCUUCCGUGCGGCCGUGUCACCGCCCUUCCUCACCGGUGAGCGCGCGUUGUUCGACGAGCUGCUUCGGGCGCCGAGCAAGGAGGAGGAGGUGGACGACCUCGACGCCGGGGAGGAGGCCGGGUCGGAGGCCACCUUAGCGUCACCAAGGCCGAACGCCGGCGACGAGGAGCUGCCCUGCUCAACGCUCGAAGCGCCGUCCAUGGUCGCUGCCGUCGCCACGGCCGGCGCCAUCGCCACCCACACGGCGCACGGGAACAUCCACGCCAUGGCGACCUGGAAGAAAUGCAUGGUGAUCAGGAGCACUGGGGUUUGCUUGCAGGCCCUUGUGCACGUAGUACGUCCUUGUAUAUAUAUACACGUCGCGAUUGCGAUCGCGUUCGCCUCUGACUCCGGCGGUGGUUGCAGGGGGGCACGGCGGCGUCUGCGGGCACGUGAUUUCCGAAAUCCGAGAUGCCACAGCGAGAUUGCCAAAAUCCUGUGGCUAAUCUAUGGAAUACUCCGGCGGUUCCUUCCAUAUACGGAGGGAGUACUAAUUAAUGCACGGUUUAAUUACUCGAUCGCUGAUUUAUCGGAUGAGCUAGUAAUGCGGACGGAUCGCUGAUUUAUUACCAUAUUCGAUAUUUCCCGAGUUAUGGCCUUACCAUACCUGGAUUGAUAGCCUUUGGGGUAAUUUAAAUUUAUUACCAUAUUCAAAAUUUCCUGAAUUAUGACCUUACCAUAUCUGGAUUGAUUUAUUACUAUACGUGGAUUAAUUAUGAUUUAUUACUAUAUGAUUUAUUACUAUACGUGGAUAGCCUUACCAUACUUGGUGGUAAUUUAAAUUUAUUACCAUAUUCGAUAUUUCCCGAGUUAUGGCCUUACCAUAUAUGGAUUGAUAGCCUUUGGGGUAAUUUAAAUUUAUUACCAUAUAAUUGCCAUAUUCAAAAUUUCCUGAGUUAUGACCUUACCAUACCUGGAUUGAUUUAUUACUAUACGUGGAUUAAUUAUGAUUGAUUACCAUAAAUACGUUGGGUAUUGCCGGUCAGACGAGAAAAGAGAAAAACAGGUGGGAGGGGCUGGUGGGAGGUGGGACGAAGAAAAACCGGUUGAAAAUAAACCGGUUGAAAGUGGGGGGGACUAUUCAACCAAUUCGUCCAUUGAAAGUGGCGGCGCUCGAGGUGCCCUGCGCCUCGCAUUCGCAGGGCGAGACGGCGCUGGUGCCGAUCUCCUCCUCCGGACGAACGAGGAGCCAGCCGUCCAAGCUGGGCGAGGGAGCCAACGGCAGCCUGCAGCGCUGCCGGCUCGACUCCUUGAAGCUGUGUUUUGAUUUUCGGUUUGAGCUUUUUUUCGCCCUAUGCCGAGAUGGACGAAUUUCGGCCAUUUUCAAAAAUUUCGGCUGAAAUUUGAUCAAAUUUUAACUGCGAUUUGACUUAAAUUUGACCAAAAUUUACCAAAUUUGAGCAAUUUCGGCCUAAAUAUACUUUUCGCCCCAGGCCGAGAUGGCCGAAAUUCGGCCGAAAUCCAUUUUUUUUGGCCGAAAAUCAAAACACAGCCUUGCAGUAGGCGAUCGCGCUCGCGACGGCCUCCUCCCUCGCCCGGGCGGUGCCGUCCUCGCCGGCGGCGACCCUCCCGUCCGGCUUCGUCGCCCGGCCCUUCCGUCUCCCGCGCCCGUCUGGCCGCUCGUCCGCAGCACCAGCGCGCUGCAAAUUUCUGGCGAACCUACGCAGGCACCGCCUUAGAGCGUGGCCCUUCCGUGCGGCCAUGUCACCGCCCUCCCUCACCGGUGAGCGCGCGCUGUUCGACGAGCUGCUUCGGGCGCCGAGCAAGGAGGAGGAGGUGGACGACCUCGACGCCGGGGAGGAGCCCGGGUCGGAGGCCACCUUAGCGUCGCCAGGGCCGAACGCCGGCGACGAGGAGCUGCCCUGCUCAAUGCUCGAAGCGCCCUCCGUGGUCGCUGCCGUCGCCACGGCCGGCGCCAUCGCCGCCCACACGGCGCACGGGAACAUCCACGCCAUGACGACCGGGAAGAAAUGCAUGGUGAUCAGGAGCACCGGGGUUUGCUUGCAGGCCCUUGUGCACGUAGUACGUCCUUGUAUAUAUAUACACGUCGCGAUUGCGAUCGCGUUCGCCUCCGACUCCGGCAGUGGUUGCAGGGGGGGCACGGCGGCAUCUGCGGGCGCGUGAUUUCCGAAAUCCGAGAUGCCACAGCGAGAUUGCCAAAACCCUGUGGCUAAUCUAUGGAAUACUCCGGCGGUUCCUUCCAUAUACGGAGGGAGUACUAAUUACUGCACGGUUUAAUUACUCGAUCGCUGAUUUAUCGGAUGAGCUAGUAAUGCGGACGGAUCGGUGAUUUAUUACCAUAUUCGAUAUUUUCCGAGUUAUGGCCUUACCAUACCUGGAUUGAUAGCCUUUGGGGUAAUUUAAAUUUAUUACCAUAUAAUUACCAUAUUCAAAAUUUCCUGAGUUAUGACCUUACCAUACCUGGAUUGAUUUAUUACUAUACGUGGAUUAAUUAUGAUUUAUUACUAUAUGAUUUAUUACUAUACGUGGAUAGCCUUACCAUACCUGGUGGUAAUUUAAAUUUAUUACCAUAUUCGAUAUUUCCUGAGUUAUGGCCUUACCAUAUCUGGAUUGAUAGCCUUUGGGGUAAUUUAAAUUUAUUACCAUAUAAUUGCCAUAUUCAAAAUUUCCUGAGUUAUGACCUUACCAUACCUGGAUUGAUUUAUUACUAUACGUGGAUUAAUUAUAAUUGAUUACCAUGAAUACGUUGGUUAUUGCCGGUCAGACGAGAAAAGAGAAAAAUCGGUGGGAGGGGCUGGUGGGAGGUGGGACGAAGAAAAACCGGUUGAAAAUAAACCGGUUGAAAAUAAACCGGUUGAAAGUGGGGGGGACUAUUCAACCAAUUCGUCCAUUGAAAGUGGCGGCGCUCGAGGUGCCCUGCGCCUCGCAUUCGCAGGGCGAGACGGCGCUCGUGGCGCUGAUGCCGAUCUCCUCCUCCGGACGAACGAGGAGCGAGUCGUCCAAGCUGGGCGAGGGAGCCAACGGCGGCCUGCAGCGCUGCCGGCUCGACUCCUUGCAGCUGUGUUUUGAUUUUCGAUUUGAGCUUUUUUUCGCCCUAGGCCGAGAUGGCCGAAUUUCGACCAUUUUCAAAAAUUUCGGCUGAAAUUUGAUCAAAUUUUAACUGCGACUUGACUUAAAUUUGACCAAAAUUUACCAAAUUUGAGCAAUUUCGGCCUAAAUAUACUUUUCGCCCAAGGCCCAGAUGGCCGAAAUUCGGCCGAAAUCCAUUUUUUUCGGCCAAAAAUCAAAACACAGCCUUGCAGUAGGCGAUCGUGCUCGCGACGGCCUCCUCCCUCGCCCGGGCGAUGCCGUCCUCGCCGGCGGCGACCCUCCCGUCCGGCUUCGUCGCCCGGCCCUUCCGUCUCCCGCGCCCGUCUGGCCGCUCGCCCGCAGCACCGGCGCGCUGCAGAUUUCUGGCGAACCUGCGAAGGCACCGCCUUAGCGCGUGGCCCUUCCGUGCGGCUGUGUCACCGCCCUCCCUCACCGGUGGGCGCGCGCUGUUUGACGAGCUGCUUCGGGCGCCGAGCAAGGAGGAGGAGGUGGACGACCUUGACGCCAGGGAGGAGCCCGGGUCGGAGGCCACCUUAGCGUCGCCAGGGCCGAACACCGGCGAUGGGGAGCUGCCCUGCUCAACGCUCGAAGCGCCGUCCGUGGUCGCUACCGUCGCCACGGCUGGCGCCAUCGCCGCCCACACGGCGCACGAGAACAUCCAACGCCAUGACGACCUGGAAGAAAUGCAUGGUGAUCAGGAGCACUGGGGUUUGCUUGCAGGCCCUUGUGCACAUAGUACGUCCUUGUAUAUAUAUACACGUCGCGAUUGCGAUCGCGUUCGCCUCCGACUCCGGCGGUGGUUGCAGGGGGGGGCACGGCGGCGUCUGCGGGCGCGUGAUUUCCAAAAUCCGAGAUGCCACAGCGAGAUUGCCAAAAUCCUGUGGCUAAUCUAUGGAAUACUCCGGCGGUUCCUUCCAUAUACGGAGGGAGUACUAAUUACUGCACGGUUUAAUUACUCGAUCGCUGAUUUAUCGGAUGAGCUAGUAAUGCGGACGGUUCGCUGAUUUAUUACCAUAUUCGAUAUUUCCCGAGUUAUGGCCUUACCAUACCUGGAUUGAUAGCCUUUGGGGUAAUUUAAAUUUAUUACCAUAUAAUUACCAUAUUCAAAAUUUCCUGAGUUAUGACCUUACCAUACCUGGAUUGAUUUAUUACUAUACGUGGACUAAUUAUGAUUUAUUACUAUAUGAUUUAUUACUAUACGUGGAUAGCCUUACCAUACCUGGUGGUAAUUUAAAUUUAUUACCAUAUUCGAUAUUUCCCGAGUUAUGGCCUUACCAUAUCUGGAUUGAUAGCCUUUAGGGUAAUUUAAAUUUAUUACCAUAUAAUUGCCAUAUUCAAAAUUUGCUGAGUUAUGACCUUACCAUACCUGGAUUGAUUUAUUACUAUACGUGGAUUAAUUAUGAUUGAUUACCAUAAAUACGUUGGGUAUUGCCGGUCAGACGAGAAAAGAGAAAAACCAGUGGGAGGGGCUGGUGGGAGGUGGGAUGAAGAAAAACCGGUUGAAAAUAAACCGGUUGAAAAUAAACCGGUUGAAAGUGGGGGGGACUAUUCAACCAAUUCGUCCAUUAGGAGUAGAUAUUUGACUUAAAUUUGACCAAAAUUUACCAAAUUUGAGCAAUUUCGGCCUAAAUAUACUUUUCGCCCCAGGCCGAGAUGGCCGAAAUUCGGCCGAAAUCCAUUUUUUCGGCCGAAAAUCAAAACACAGCCUUGCAGUAGGCGAUCGCGCUCGCGACGGCCUCCUCCCUCGCCCGGGCGGUGCCGUCCUCGCUGGCGGCGACCGUCCCGUCCGGCUUCGUCGCCCGGCCCUUCCGUCUCCCGCGCCCGUCUGGCCGCUCGUCCGCAGCACCGGCGCGAUGCAGAUUUCUGGCGAACCUGCGCAGGCACCGCCUUAGCGCGUGGCCCUUCCGUGCGGCCGUGUCACCGCCCUCCCUCACCGGUGAGCGCGCGCUGUUCGACGAGCUGCUUUGGGCGCCGAGCAAGGAGGAGGAGGUGGACGACCUCGACGCCGGGGAGGAGCCCGGGUCGGAGGCCACCUUAGCGUCGCCAGGGCCGAACGCCGGCGAGGAGGAGCUGCCCUGCUCAACGCUCGAAGCGCCGUCCAUGGUCGCUGCCGUCGCCACGGCCGGCGCCAUCGCCGCCCACACGGCGCACGGGAACAUCCACGCCAUGACGACGUGGAAGAAAUGCAUGGUGAUCAGGAGCACUGGGGUUUGCUUGCAGGCCCUUGUGCACGUAGUACGUCCUUGUUUAUAUAUACACGUCGUGAUUGCGAUCGCAUUCGCCUCCGACUCCGGCGGUGGUUGCAGGGGGGGGGGCACGGCGGCGUCUGCGGGCGCGUGAUUUCUGAAAUCCGAGAUGCCACAGCGAGAUUGCCAAAAUCCUGUGGCUAAUCUAUGGAAUACUCCGGUGGUUCCUUCCAUAUACCGAGGGAGUACUAAUUACUGCACGGUUUAAUUACUCGAUCGCUGAUUUAUCGGAUGAGCUAGUAAUGCGGACGGAUCGCUGAUUUAUUACCAUAUUCGAUAUUUCCCGAGUUAUGGCCUUACCAUACCUGGAUUGAUAGUCUUUGGGGUAAUUUAAAUUUAUUACCAUAUAAUUACCAUAUUCAAAAUUUUUCCUGAGUUAUGACCUUACCAUACCUGGAUUGAUUUAUUACUAUACGUGGAUUAAUUAUGAUUUAUUACUAUAUGAUUUAUUACUAUACGUGGAUAGCCUUACCAUACCUGGUGGUAAUUUAAAUUUAUUACCAUAUUCGAUAUUUCCCGAGUUAUGGCCUUACCAUAUCUGGAUUGAUAGCCUUUGGGGUAAUUUAAAGUUAUUAACAUAUAAUUGCCAUAUUCAAAAUUUCCUGAGUUAUGACCUUACGAUACCUGCAUUGAUUUAUUACUAUACGUGGAUUAAUUAUGAUUGAUUACCAUAAAUACGUUGGGUAUUGCCGGUCAGACGAGAAAAGAGAAAAACCGGUGGGAGGGGCUGGUGGGAGGUGGGACGAAGAAAAACCGGUUGAAAAUAAACCGGUUGAAAAUAAACCGGUUGAAAGUGGGGGGGACUAUUCAACCAAUUCGUCCAUUGAAAGUGGCGGCGCUCGAGGUGCCCUGCGCCUCGCAUUCGCAGGGUGAGACGGCGCUCGUGGCGCUGGUGCCGAUCUCCUCCGGACGAACGAGGAGCCAGCCGUCCAAGCUGGGCGAGGGAGCCAACGGCGGCCUGCAGGGCUGCCGACUUGACUCCUUGCAGCUGUGUUUUGAUUUUCGGUUUGAGCUUUUUUUCGCCCUAGGCCGAGAUGGACGAAUUUCGGCCAUUUUCAAAAAUUUCAGCUGAAAUUUGAUCAAAUUUUAACUGCGAUUUGACUUAAAUUUGACCAAAAUUUACCAAAUUUGAGCAAUUUCGGCCUAAAUAUACUUUUCGCCCCAGGCCGAGAUGGCCGAAAUUCGGUCGAAAUCCAUUUUUUUCGGCCGAAAAUCAAAACACAGCCUUGCAGUAGGCGAUCGCGCUCGCGACGGCCUCCUCCCUCGCCCGGACGGUGCCGUCCUCGCUGGCGGCGACCCUCCCGUCCGGCUUCGUCGCCCGGCCCUUCCGUCUCCCGCGCCCGUCUGGCCACUCGUCCGCAGCACCGGCGCGCUGCAGAUUUCUGGCGAACCUGCGCAGGCACCGCCUUAGCGCGUGGCCCUUCCGUGCGGCCGUGUCACCGCCCUCCCUCACCGGUGAGCGCGCGCUGUUCGACGAGCUGCUUCGGGCGCCGAGCAAGGAGGAGGAGGUGGACGACCUCGACGCCGGGGAGGAGCCCGGGUCGGAGGCCACCUUAGCGUCGCCAGGGCCGAACACCGGCGACGAGGAGCUGCCCUGCUCAACGCUCGAAGCGCCGUCCAUGGUCGCUGCCGUCGCCACGACCGGCGCCAUCGCCGCCCACACGGCGCACGGGAACAUCCACGCCAUGACGACCUGGAAGAAAUGCAUGGUGAUCAGGAGCACUGGGGUUUGCUUGCAGGCCCUUGUGCACGUAGUACGUCCUUGUAUAUAUAUACACGUCGUGAUUGCGAUCGCAUUCGCCUCCAACUCCGGCGGUGGUUGCAGGGGGGGGGGCACGGCGGCGUCUGCGGGCGCGUGAUUUCCGAAAUCCGAGAUGCCACAGUGAGAUUGCCAAAAUCCUGUGGCUAAUCUAUGGAAUACUCCGGCAGUUCCUUCCAUAUACGGAGGGAGUACUAAUUACUGCACGGUUUAAUUACUCGAUCGCUGAUUUAUCGGAUGAGCUAGUAAUGCGGACGAAUCGCUGAUUAUUACCAUAUUCGAUAUUUCCCGAGUUAUGGCCUUACCAACCUGGAUUGAUAGCCUUUGGGGUAAUUUAAAUUUAUUACCAUAUAAUUACCAUAUUCAAAAUUUCCUGAGUUAUGACCUUACCAUACCUGGAUUGAUUUAUUACUAUACGUGGAUUAAUUAUGAUUUAUUACUAUAUGAUUUAUUACUAUACGUGGAUAGCCUUACCAUACCUGGUGGUAAUUUAAAUUUAUUACCAUAUUCGAUAUUUCCCGAGUUAUGGCCUUACCAUAUCUGGAUUGAUAGCCUUUGGGGUAAUUUAAAUUUAUUACCAUAUAAUUGCCAUAUUCAAAAUUUCCUGAGUUAUGACCUUACCAUACCUGGAUUGAUUUAUUACUAUACGUGGAUUAAUUAUGAUUGAUUACCAUAAAUACGUUGGAUAUUGCCGGUCAGACGAGAAAAGAGAAAAACUGGUGGGAGGGGCUGGUGGGAGGUGGGACGAAGAAAAACCGAUUGAAAAUAAACCGGUUGAAAGUGGGGGGACUAUUCAACCAAUUCGUCCAUUAGGAGUAGAGACUCGUUGCAAAGAACACUCCACUUUCUCAGGUCGCGACAAGUGGCGCACAUGCAGCGCGUCACUUGUCGCAACCUGAGGGUUUUUCCUUUUUUCGUAGAUCCGUUUAUUUAAAACGUUUUAUCUUUUAAACCUUGCGUCCAAAUCUCGAACCGUUUUCACUAUUGGAUUCCUCGCGUGAAGAUCUUCAAAACUAGAUCCCAUUUUGAUAGGCUUUGACGAAUUUUUUUCAUGAAAAAACCGGACGAAAAAAACCGGGUGAAAAAACCGAAACCGGGAGCACAAUUUUUUUCUCUUACCGAAAGAGGCAUGCCCGUGCCUCUCACGAAAUCACGUCCGUGCCUCUUGUGGAAGCAAAACCGUGACUCUCGUGAAAGGAAAAAAAUAGAAAAUGCGUUUUUUUUGUUUCUGAGAGGCAUGGCCAUGACUAUCGCGAAAACACAACCGUGCCUCUCGCGGAAGUAAAACCGUGACUCUCGCAAAAGAAAAAAAACAGAAAACAUGUUUUUUCCCUUUCUGAGAGGCACGGCCGUGACUCUCGCGAAAGCACAACCGUGCCUCUCGCGGAAGCAAAACCGUGACUCUCGCGAAAGAAAAAUAAUAAUCAGAAAACGCGUUUUGUUUUUCCCUUUCCGAGAGGCACGACCGUGAUUCUCGCGAAAGCACAACCGUGCCUCUCGCGGAAGCAAAACCGUGACUCUCGCGAAAGAAAAAAAAACAGAAAACGCGUUUUUUUUCGUUUCUUAAAAGGCAUGGUCGUGACUCUCGCUAAAGCACAACCGUGCCUCUCGCGGAAAAAAACCGUGACUUUCACGAAAGAAAAAAAAGAGAAUGCUUUUUUCACGCAAUUUUUUUUCGAAUUUUUUUUGAUCGAAAAGCUAAGCAAGACCGGGGAAAAACCAAAACGUCAAAAAACCCCGGAAAAAAACCAUUUAAAAAGCCGAAAACGCGUGCGAAAAAAUAAAAAAACAAAAUCCGAAGUGAGCGUCUAGAGCGCAACACGUGACGAAUAACUGAGAGCGCGUUAAGUGGCGCGGAUUAUUGCGAGGCUCCCAAAAAAACACUCGUUAACUAGUUGCUCCCGCCUAGGUCUAGCAAAUUCUAUUCACCGCCCAUUGGGUCAGUUAUAGCGUUAAUGGGUGGUUGGAGCCCCCGUAUUCAUGCAGUAGCAAAACAGCCCAGCCAAAACCUUUAUCUCCCAACACCGGUUUUGGUAACCUUCUAGCAGGUUUCCUCCGGUUUCUUGGCUGAUUUAUUUAGAUUUUAUUUUACUCAUAUUUUAUUCAGCUGUGUCAUUUUUUAUUUUAAUAUUUUUAUUCUUUUAAAUUUACUUUUUCCGUUUUUCAAAAGUAUGAUUUUUUGUGAAAUUAUUUUUUUAAAUCCAUGAACCUUUUCAAUUGCGUGUUUUUUUUCAAUUUCAUGAACUCAAAUUCACGGACCUUCUUAAAAUUCAUGAACUUCUGAAUUUUUCCGUUUCUAUUAUAAAUUCAUAAACUUUUUAAAUUUUUUUGUAUGAACUUUCAAGAUUCUUAUUUUUUUUUUCAAAAAGCCAACCGGGAAGCCCUCAUAGGCCAACUUGUCAACCAGUCAACCAAAAAUAAACCAGGCAAGAACAACAAUAGCACCGUAUAGGAGCUCACCUACGUGAGUUUAGCAAAUCAAGAGGGAGAAGAACCUCGGGUGCGGCCCAACUACCUGCCGAAAGUGAGCAAGGCUGGGCGGGAGCUCCUAUUCGAGAGCAACUUUAAGGGAUACCCAUUGCGGGAGCCGCAUGAGGGUCAUUUGGUGGGACGAGAGCAUGUCAAGUGGUACAUCCAGCCACCGCCAUCUGUCGCUUGCUGGAUGGUUCCUCAUGAUUUUGUGCUUCCACAAGAAACAUAAAUUUACUUCUCGUGAAGGCACAUAUUUGCUUCCACGAGAAGCACAUCUGCCUCUUGAAAAGAAUAGAAAAACGUGUUUUUUUGCUUUUGCAAGAAGCACAUAUUUACUUCGCAGGGGCACAAAUUUGCUUCCACAAGAAGCACAUUUGUGUCUCUCGAAAAGGAAAAAAAACAUAUUUAUUUUCUCUUCGAUAGAAGCACAUAUUUGCUUCCGUAAAAAGCAUGGUUGUGCCUCUCAAAAAGAAAAAAACAUGUUCUUUUCUUCAACGAGAAGCACAUAUUUACUUCUCGUGGAGGCAUAGAUUUGCUUCCAUGAGAAAAACAAUUGUAUGUCUUGAAAAGGAAAAACAUGUGUUUUUUUUUCACAAGAAGCACAUAUUGCUUCUUGCGAAGACACAUAUUUGUUUCCACGAGAAGCACAGUUGUGCCUCCCAGAAAGGAAAAAAAACUUUUUUAUUUUGCAUCCAUGAGAAACACAGAUUUACUUCUCAUGAAGGCACAAAUUUGCUUCCGCGAGAAGCACAACUUCGAUUAUUUUCUCCCAGUUUUUCCAUGAUUUUUUUGUCGAAAUUUAUUAACAUGGAAUCUAUUUUUGAAGAUCUGAACGCGAGAAAUCCGACGGUGAAAAUGGUUCGGGAUUUGAAAGCACAGUUCAAGAGAUAAAAUAUUUUAAAUAAAUCAAUGUACGAAAAAAGAAAGCUCCCAGGUUGCGAUAAGUAGCGCACAUGCAAUAUGCCAUUUGUCAGCGCCUAAGAAGGUAGGCUACCUUGCUUAUGUAGUGCCGGUUUAGGCAUUUUCCCCAACUAGCGGACCCCCUCCCCCUUGUGUCGAUAGAAUUUCUGUGGGCCGACUCAUUAACAGUAUAGGAGUGAGAGUUUCCGUGCCGGUUUUGGGAAGCUUUCAGAAGUCCCCAGGUUGGUUUUGGGGAAGCUUCCAAGUUGUUUUUUGACCUGGCUUUUCUUUGGAUUUUCACUUGGCUUUUAUUUUGUUUUUAUUUUUUCCUUUUUCGUAUCCUUUUUUUGUUAAAAUUUCAAACUCGUGAAUCUUUUAAAUCCAUGAACUUUUUUCUUCAAAUUAUUGACAUUUUUGCAAAUUUGUGAAAAAAAAUCAUCAAAUUUUAGAACCUUGAUAUUGUGAUGUUGAGUGGUUAUGCCUAGUGUCAUCGUUUGGGUUUCAUCUAUUUACUGUGGCAAUGACAGGUCAUGCAGAGGAAAGGGGUUCAGCUACCGCAGCACGUAACAGUUGAAAUGUUGUUGUCCUAAUGCAGUAAAAGAGAGCAGGAGCGAGAGAGUGGGAUUGUAUCGGAAUGAACAAGGGGGUUUUGCUUGCCUGGCACUUCUGAAGAUAGUAUAGUUCUUCAUCGGUGUCAACGAUCACAGCGUCGGAAACAUCGUCGACUGAGAGGGGACGGUUACCGGCAAACAGAGAAGGACACAAUCAAUGCAAUGCAACAAUAUGAUGCAUGAUCAUGACAUGGCAAUAUGCUGUGAUUUGAGCUAAUGCAUCUAGCUAUGAUUUAAAUGGAGUUGGUUUGAAUACAUGAUUCAAAUUCCAACUCUAUAUGUGAUUAUUUAAAUGCCCUUUAUUUGUUUUGUCCAAAACAGAGGACAAACAUUGUCCAAACAUGCAUGAAAAUGGUACAGAUGGAUUCCUUGAAUUUUUCUGAUAAUUUUUCAUAUAUAAAUUAUUUCAUUUGGAGUUACAGUUGAUUUUCUAUGAUUUUUAGAAGUUUAGGCAAUUUUCUGAAAUAAAUAAAUCAUUUCUGAUUUAUUUAAAAUCCCAGAAAAGCUUUACUGCGUUAGCAUGAUGUCACCAUGACGUCAUCAGGUCAACGGGGUCGGUCCAGGUCAAACCUGACCAAUGGGGCCCACUGGUCAGUGACUCAGGGCCAGUUAGUGUCGCUGACAGGUGGCCCCGGUCAACUGCCACGUCAGCUAGUCAACCCUGACGCGUGGGGCCACCGAGAUUAAGUUAAAUCUAAGUCCUGUGGUUAAUUAAGGGACAGGGCCCGCUGUCAGUGUCUUGGGAGGUUAAUUAACGGGGCUGUUUGCUGCUAAUGACGGGACACGUCAUAUCAUCGGAGUUCAACGCCAGCGAACACACAGACGCGGCGGCGAUGAUCGGGACGGCGGCUCCGGCGACCAAAUCGAUGGCCGAGCCCACCUGCGAGGAGCUGGGGCUCGUGCGCAUCCAACUAUGGCAGGGGGAGGUUGCGAGGUGGCCGGAGUUGGGCACGGCGUCGACCUCGGCGGCGGCCGGAGUUCGGGCUCGACCGAUGCGAUGCUACGGUGUACGAGACAACGAGGUGAGCAGUGCUAUGGCCUCCUGGGAGCACGCUGAGCACAACUACGUGCUCGGUUUGGUCAUUCGAGGUUGCUAGCUGCGGCAAUGGCGAACUCGUCGGCGACGAGCUCUCGGGCUCAACAGAGGCCGCGGUUAGAGGAUGAAACAGAGGGGGCGAGCACGGGCCGAUAAACACGAAUGCACACAUACUCUUGACUAACAAGUGAUAGGCUAAGGUCGGAAUACAACUAAAGGGGGGAACAACUCAAGGAACAUAUAAUUUUUUUUGAGUUGUGGACGCAUGCAUUAGUAUGUCGAACGAGUUCAACAUAUUUCUUCCGGAUAACUCAUGCAUAAAGGUAGAACUGGCAGAAUCACAAUUAUGGAUGGAGAACUCAUCAAAAGCACUCCGGUUGUGAUAUUUUUGGUUCAAACGAAUUUCUGCCAAGGAUGGUUCAUAGUAUUUGGAAGAAGGAAAUACCACGGACCUCGAGGACUAUCGCAUGGGUUAUUAAUAUCUUAAAGGAACUAGCAACACUAUCAACAUGAGAUAAAUAGGGUGAAUCUCGGGUUCAAGAGCCCAGGAGAAGAAUACCUACUACUAAAUGGCAUCACGGGAUGCUUUCGAGAAUGGUGGCCAGAAUCAUCACACUAGGAAUAUAAAACAUUGCUAGACUACUAGGUGAUCCUCUAAGACACCUAGGGUCAUAAUACUAGUCCCAACAUAUAUGUCAAGGCAAGGAGUACCUCAACAGACGAUUAUUAGUGUACUUAUUCCAACCAAAAGGACAUCGGGAACAGGAAGGAAGAAUUUGCAAAUGCAUCAGAUAGUUUUAGAAACCUGGGAUGACUCGGACGGCAUAACGGCCGUAAAUGCUCAAAAAGAUUUGAGACAUCCUGCAAAAUGGUGGCAUAACCACUCAAUACACAAUAUCAAGGUUCCGAGACCAACUAUGAACACGCGGAAGUAGUAGGAACUGAACUGAGGCUUGAACUCAACAAUCCUAGGCAACUACGAUUUAGUAACAUGUCAUCCUAAGAGAUAGAAGAGAAACCUAGUUCUUAACCCCGUAGAGAAGAUAAGAUGACUCAGAUCAGAAGGUCAUGAGGAUAAGGAGUAAAAAGAGCCCUACGUUCCCUUCCACAAUCAAUUCCCUUAUAUAACUAAAGCAUUUCUAGACACAACUUCGACCAGUAUGGCUUGGUAAUCCUACAGGCAGUCAGGCUCUGAUACCAAAGCUGUCAGUGUCUUGGGAGGUUAAUUAACGGGGCUGUUUGCUGCUAAUGAUGGGACACGUCAUAUCAUCGGAGUUCAACACUGGCGAACACACAGACGCGGCGGCGAUGAUCGGGACGGCGGCUCCGGCGACCAAAUCGAUGGCCGAGCCCACCUGUGAGGAGCUGGGGCUCGUGCGCAUCCAACUGUGGCAGGGGGAGGUUGCGAGGUGGCCGGAGUUGGGCACGGUGUCGACCUCGGCGGCGGCCGGAGUUCGGGCUCGACCGAUGCGAUGCUACGGUGUACGAGACAACGAGGUGAGCAGUGCUAUGGCCUCCCGGGAGCACGCUGAGCACAACUACGUUCUCGGUUUGGUCAUUCGAGGUUGCUAGCUGCGGCAAUGGCGAACUCGUCGGCGGCGAGCUCUCGGGCUCAACAGAGGCCGCGGUUAGUGGAUGAAACAGAGGGGGCGAGCAUGGGGGGAGGUGUAGGAGCUCACAAGGAUGCGGCCGAGAAGGCCAGCGGGCUCGGGGACGACCUGGAGACGGAGAAUCGGGGCCGGCGAUCUUCGGUGCCCGUCGGUGAAGACGACGGCGAUGGCGUCACUGCAGGGCUCCCGGUGUCGCUUGGAGCGGUGAGGAGGAAGAGUAGGUCGAGGCGGAGCUUUGGGCGGCGUCGGGGAGGCGAGGCGGUGGCUGUGGCCGCGGCGAACGGCGUCGGUGGUGACGGCCUCUACUCGGUGGUGCUCGGGAAGAGAGAGCAGAGGAGGGGAGAGAGGGCGACGAGUAAGGGAGAAGAGAGGGAGGGAGCCAGGGGUGUCGUGGCGUCGUCUGGGCGCGUCGGGGCAACGGUGGGGAGCAGGAGGUGGCGGGUCGCGUGCUCGCGCGCGGUGGCCACACUCCUCUCAUCCUCCUGGCAGGAGGUUGAGGGUGACUGGCACGGCGCUGUGGGCUGGGCCGCACAGUAGCAGGCCGGCCAGGCUGGACAGGUAAGCGCCUGGUAGGUCUUCUGCUCUUUUUUAACUUUUCUUCUAUUUUGUUUUAUUUAAUUGCCACUGAAUUCAAAUUCAAACAAAUUUGAAAGCAGUGCCAAAACUCCCCUGGAUGAUUUUAUGUCGCUUAAGGUCUACUCCUCAAAUACAUAAAAUAUCUCAGGGCAUUUGAAAAUAUAUUCAUUAUAUAUUAUGUAUAUAACUCCAAAUUCAAAUAGAAUAUUGAUUUAAAAUCAGAGCCCAAAUAAUUCCUUAGAAAUGUUCCAAAAUUUUGGUUUGAUUUAUAACUCUUGCCAAAAUUGUCAGAGCUAUUUCUAGGGCAUUUUGGAUUUACUGAUUGCAAUUUUAGGGUUUCUUGCCCCUUUAUUAAAAUGAUUUCCGAGGCUUUCAAUUUCCUCAUUUCAAAUUUCAGAAUUUAGACAUGGUGCACACAUGAAGCUAGCCUAGAGCAUUACCAGAAGCUAGGGAUGUGACAGCUCACCCCUACUAAACAAGAAUCUCGUCCCGAGAUUUCAAGACGUGAGGUAAGAAGGCAGAGGGGACACAAAGUUAACAUGAUCUUCACGAUCCAGAUUGCACUUCAAAUGAAUGUUGAUUCAGUCACCAUCUUUGUCUCGACGUCUUGCUUCGGAAACUUCAACCAACACAACAACGAGAGAGAAAAAGGAAAACUCUAGAAGAAUCGAUCUUCUCGAGGAUCGAACAAUUCAGGAUCAACUCGGAAUGAGACGUAGAAACAUCUCUGGAGCUAAGAGGCAAAAUACACCUUGGAAAUGACGGAAGAAACAAUCUGACAAGGGUUGUAGAACAGCGAGGGAGAAAUUGCCAUGAUUCCAAAACGGGGCACCUUAGGGAAAGGUGACUCGUAGAGCAUUUCCCUUAAGUGGCAAAAAGAAUUACUUUUGAUACAAAGAUCAUUGAAACUCUUUAUACCAGCCUGAGGUAAUCACAAUCGAUUGUUGGAAGGGUUCGAAGAAUGGCAUACUCCGACUAGGAUGGAUGAUGUGGACUACCUUGUUGAAGACAACACAAUGGAUGAUUUUUAGCUUAUCAUCGGAAAUGGAUGGGACCCAUGGUAGUCCACUUUUGAAGAUGAUCAUGAACAACAACUACUGAGGUGCAAGCUGGGAACAAAAUGCAAAUGUUGGGAAUGAUUCUGGUAACUGGGGAAGAACUCAACAGUCGAGAGUGAGUCCACUGUUUGAAAAGGUUAUAACAUAACCGAGGAAACUGGAAGCAAAUCCCAGUUAACGCCAACGGUAAAACCUGGUGCUAGCGCGUGCUCUCAAGAACUUGAGCACCUCCAUAUUCAUCAAGGUUUUACUAAUAUCCGUGUCAAGGAUCCUGGCAACACAACAUACCACCAUGAUGAA